GCUCUUCCAGUUUCCUUGAUCCCGAUCCUUAUAUCCAACCUUGUCAUAAUAAGUCCGACCUUGAUUUCCUUAGAUAUUUCCUUGGAAACCCUCCUGGUUAUUCAAAUAGUUUGCCUCUUCUUCCAAAUUAGAGUCUUUUUACCUUGGAAUACAACCGCUUUCACCUUUUUAGUCUUUACAAAUAAUAAGUGCUGGUCAGUAAAUCCUUCUAUGUCUUCUAGAGUGCCAUGUCUUGAUCAUGUUCUUUUUUUCUUACGUUGUUCUAUAGUUAUGCCAACAGACAUAGUAGAGCUUUCUACCAUAAAAUCCCUGGUAUGCCAAGCUCUACUUUAUUUGGUCAUCCAAUCUAGUAUCUCAGAGGCCUCUUAAAAAGUGAGAUCCAAAAUGAUCCCCUUGUAGCAUUAUCAACAACUACCUUUGUAAUAGAGUUCAAACCCCGAUAAAGAGUCUUCAUCGGGUGAAUAUCUAUCAUAUUAUGGUUCGAACACUGCAUCAGCUUCUUGUUGAACCUCUUCUAUGCCUCAUGAAGAGCUUUGGUUGGGAGCUGUCUAAAGUUACUAAUCUUAUCCCUCAACUGUACCCUCCUGGAAGGCGGAAAGAACCUUUCUAGGAAAGCCUCUUUCAAUUGCCUCUAGACAGUUAUAGAAUCAGGCAUCAACUUAUUAAGCCACAAUGUUGCUUUCCUAAACAGAGACAAUGGAAAUAAACUCAGGUGGAUGGCAUUCUAUCCCACUCCUGGGUUAUCAAAGGACUUGCAAAUAGUGACAAAGUUCACUAAAUGCAUAUUAGGAUUAUUUCCCAAUAGUCCACCGAACAACCCUUUAGAUGGAGGAAUUAAAUUAUUGUACUGGUAAUAUUGAACUUUGCUCCUGGUGAUAAAGGUGCAGGAAUAAUAGCUCCAAUAUCACCAGCUCCAUCUAUUUUAUCACCAUCGUCAUUUUGAUCAUACUGCACAAGUUGGUGAUCCAGUCUUACUUAGAACGGACGAUUUCUAUUCACAUUUCGGUUCACCAGUGUAGCUAUAUUCUCUGCGCGCCUUGGGUUGGCAGGUUUUAGAAAUUCCUUGUCUCCCAGUUCCUCAUCAUCCGUAUUUGGUACCCAACCUGGGUUAUCUACAUUCUAUUGAUUUACUUGAGCCCUAGCCAAGACGGCUAAUCUUUCUACUUUUUAUGGGUAUGCCAUUCUACCGAUCAACUGACGUUCCAGAUGUACUGGUAAUAAUGGUUCAUCUAAACUCCGUGUACUUUCCAUACACACUAACUAAUGCAAAGGAAAAAAACAACAAAUAAAAGUAAAAUUAGAAAACCUGACUAACUGUCAAUUAGCACACAUAAACUUAAUUGAAAACCGCAUUCCCCAUCAAUGGUGCCAAAAUUUGAUACGCCCAAAUUAUAAAUCUCUUACGAGAGAGUAGGCGGUCGUUCUCAAAUAUAUAACCCAACUAGAUUGGGUUUGAAUCCCACAGGGAAUAUGGUGUUAAAUUAAGUUAAUCAUGAGCCAAUCAACUAAUAGUUCAUAGUUUUUGAUAAAUGGGUUUUUUUAGAUUAAAAUGGUAGUUAUUUCUCACUUCAAGUUUAUCACUUGUUACCAAUAUUUCAGUGUUUCAAGUUAAUAUUAUGGAAGAAACCAGAACUGUGUUCACUAUAGGUGUUGGUGCUUGACAUACACUAGUAGAGAUUUAAGAUUUUUGUUACAAAUAGGAGUAAUAGAUCAUCUGUAUUGGAGCAAUGCCUAAAUAUCUCUCAACCUAUUUAGGCAUUCAAUUACCUAAUCCUUUCAAACUUAGGGAAUUCAUAUUAAUGAACCAAAUUAUAUCAAGUUAAUUAACCUUUUUACAGCGUUAAUUAUUAAAUAGAAGUUUAAUGAUUCCAAGUCCCUAUAGAUAAUUAACUUCCAACUAGAUUUGAUUUCUUAUUUCAAGCAAAUCACUGGUUAGGCAUAAUCUAUCAUUUGCAACCAAUAGAUAAUGUGUACAACAGAGGAAUUAUCCAGAAGUCCCUAAAAUCUCACGAAUCUUGACCCACUAGUGACAUUACAAGACCAAACCCAUAGAUCCCACAAUUCGGGUUAAGGAAACUAGCUACUCAUGAUGUAAAAAGUAACAGUACAAAUUGCAUUCAUAAUUCUAUGGAUGAUAACUUACAGACUAAUGAUUAGCAAUAGUUGUUUCUCCUUCACAAUCACAGUAGAAAUCCCCAAAAAAAUAUAAUAAUAAUCUUCCAAUAAGGAAUUGUAAUGUUCCAACUAACAACUGGAGAGAAAACUAAAUUAGUUGUGAAGUUUCUGAUGCCCUAGAAAAACCUACUCUCUGCCUUAAAUACUCAGCCUAAUUUUAGAAAUAAAUCACAUAGUAUAGUUUUUUUCCUUGCAUAGGUAAUGACAACAUGUGAUGGCUUAUCAGGAUGGUGAUGAAUUAUCAGACAUGUCGUCAACUCCUCAUCCUAUUUCACAUAUUAUUGCCUUUAGCUGACGAAAAUACCUGAUGACUUAUCAGGAUGUUGACGAUAUAUCAGACAAUAUUGUCAACUCUUCACUACAACUCCUACACACUGCCUUAGGCCGAUGAUAUUCCUGACGGCUAUUCAUAAAGUUGACGACUUAUUAGAUAAGUCAUCAAUUGUACUAUCAUGUUUGCUUACUCAAAAUCUAUAUCUUUUUACUCAGUUGUCAUUGGUUUUUAUACAUCUUAGCUCACCUGCACUAUCACAGAGAAAACAAUCAAAAACCAUAAAAUUUUCUUAAGAAUUUACCAUUAUUAUGAGUUAAAAGCCUUAAAUGUGCUAGCAUUAAGCUUGCACAUCAGUUAAUAAAUUUCUUCAAGUUUUUCCUUAUGAUCUUCCUUGUAUCCCUCUCGAUAGGGAGAUUGAUUUUAGGAUUGACCUUAUUAUGGACACUUAUCCUAUCUCUAUCCCUCCUUAUAAUAUAGUUCUAUCUAAGUUGAAUGAGCUUAAGGAGCAUUUUAAAGACCACUUUUGACAAGGGUUUUAUCCAUCCUAGUAUGUCUCUGGAGGGUGCUCCUAUUUUAUUUGUGCAUAAGAAUGAUGGUUCCCUUUGGGUGUGUAUCGAUUACCAUCAGUUGAAUAAGGUUACAGUGAAAAAUAAGUAUCCUCUUCCUUGGAUUAAUGAUUUGCUUGACCAGUUUUAGGGUGCUAGAUGUUUCUCUAAAAUUAUUCUUUGUUUGGGUUAUCAUCAUCUUCUAAGACUACUUUCCAAAUCUGAUAAGUUCACUACGAGUUCAUAUUCAUGCUAUUUGGUCUGACAAAUGCCUCGACAAUAUUUAUGGAUCUCAUGAAUUAGGUGUUCUAUUAGUUCUUAGACUUGUUCAUCAUAGUGUUCAUUGAUGAUAUUCUAGUGCACUCCAGGAGUAAGGCGGAUCACGCCGACUAUCUCUGUAUUAUUUUGUAGACCUUGAAAGAUCAGCAUUGGUAUGCUAAGUUUUUGAAGUGCGAGUUCUGGUUGAAAGUUGUGACUUUCUGGGUUGUGUCAUUUCGAGUAAAGGGAUCAUGGUGGAUUCACAAAAAGUUGUAGUGGUUAAGAAGUGGCCUAGGACCAUGACUCUAACCGAUAUUUGGAGCCUUUUGGGUUUAGCCAGUUACUAUAGGAGAUUUGUAGAGAAUUUCUCAACUAUAGCUUCCCUACUGACUAAGUUGACACAAAAUGGUGAAGUUCUUGUGGUCUAAUGUUUGUCAGUGUAGUUUUUGAAAAAGUAGAAAGAUAAGUUGACUUCAACUCUAAUUUUGACCUUACCAAAAGGUAUUGAUGGAUUCAUGGUUUAUUGCGAUGUAUCCCAUAAGGUACUUGGUUUUGUGUUGAUGCAUCAUGGUAAGGUGGUGGCCUAUGCUUCUAGGCAGUUGAAAGUUCAUGAGAGGAAUUAUCCAGCUCAUAACUUGGAGUUGUUGGUUUUGGUGUUUGUAUUAAAGAUUUGGCGUCACUAUUUGUAUGGAUUCCAUGUAGAUAUCUUUUCUAAUUAUACAAGCCUGCAAUAUGUAUUGACCCAGAAAGAGUUGAAUCUCAGGCAAAAGAGAUGGCUUGAGUUGUUAAAAGACUACGACAUGAGUCUUCAUUACCACCCAAGUAAAACUAAUGUGGUUGUUGAUACUCUUAGUAGGUUAUCCAUGAGAAGUCUAGAUCAUGUGGAUGAGGAUAAAUGGGAAUUGGUAAAAGAUAUUCAACAUUUGGCUAACCUUGGAGUUCGUCUCUUGGACUUUGAGAAUAGGGGUAUAUUUGUACAAAAGGUGGAAUAUUCCUCUCUUCAAACUGAAAUAAAGGAGAAGAAGAUAUUGGAUCCUGUCUUAAUAAAGAAAGGUUGUAGCUUUUGAGAUUUGUGAUGAUGGUAUCUUAAGGUACCAUGGCAGAUUAUAUGUUCCUGAUGUAGAUAGGUUGCGAGAUGGGAUCUUGGCUGAGGUUUAUGAACUGCAUUAUGUCAUUCAUCCUGGUUUGGCAAAGAUGUAUCAUUCUCUUAAGGAGAUUUAUUAGUGGAAUAAUAUGAAGUGAGAUGUUACCAGUUUUGUGGCUAGAUGUAUGGUGUGUCAACAAGUGAAGGUUGAGUAUUUUUUUGCCGAAGGGUUGUAUCAAGAAACUGAGUUAUCUGUGUGGAAGUGGGAAGUGAUUAAUAUAGAUUUCAUUACCUAUCUUCCUCAGUCUCGAAAUUAGUUUGAUUUGAUUUGGGUCAUCGUGGAUAGAAUGACUAAGUCUGCUCACUUCUUGCCAGUAAGAAAAAAAUUUUCGACAAAAGACUAUGCAAAUUUAUUCCUAUAAGAGAUUCUAAAGUUGCAUGGGGCUCUUGUUUCUAUCAUUUUAUAUCAUGGUGCUCAAUUCUUAUCACAGUUUUGAUAUUCAUUUUAGAGAGGUUUAGGAACUAAGGUGAGCCUUAACACUGCUUUCCACCCGCAGUCGAAUGGGAAAGCAUAAAGGACUAUUUAAACACUGAAAGACAUACUUAGAUCUUCUGUGAUUGACUAUAGUAGUAUUUGGGCUGAUCAUUUGCCUCUUAUAGAGUUAACAUAUAAUAAUAGAUACCACUCUAGUAUUGGUAUGGCUCUUUUUAAGGCCUUUUAUAGUAGGAGGUAUAGGUAUCCUAUCGGGUGUUUGUAGUUGGUAAGGCUGAGAUGUUUGGCCCAUAUUUAGUUUACCAAGAAAAAGAGAAGGUAAAGGUGAUUUGGAAUAGGCUUAAAGCCACCCAAAGUCAUAAAAAUUCCUAUGCAAAUGUGAGGCUAAGGGAGUUAGAGUUUAGUAUUGGUGAUUGGGGGUUCUUAAAAGUAUCCCCCAUAAAGGAAGUGAUGUGGUUUGGUAAGAAGAGGAAGCGUAGCCCUUGAUAUAUUGGUCAGUACUUGGUGUUGAAGAGGGUUGGUAAUGCUGCGUAUGAAUUAGAGUUGUCCUCUUGUUUGUACUUCAUUUAUCCAAUGUUUUAUGUUUUGAUGUUGGAAAAGUGUGUGGAUCAUUCUUCGAUGGUUGUUUCUUUGGAUGAGGUAGGUAUUUUGGAUUUCUUAUCUUAUGAUGAAGACCCAUUUAAAAUUUAGGAUUGGCAAGUUUGUUGGUUACAGACAAAGGACGUAGCUUCGAUAAAGGUUCUAUGGAGGAACCAUAAGGUUGAAGAGGCUACUUGAGAAGACCUUAUGCUCUGAAUAAUCAUGCUUGAGGUAUGUGUAUUUCUUAAUAUCUUCAUUUUUGACUUUGUUAAAGGAAAAAGUGAUUUCUUUAGCAUCUUUGUUUUCUGUCUUUGUUAAAGGUAAGAGUAAAGGUAUGUGGAGUCAAUUAGUGCUUAUAAAUUCCUUUUCCUAUCAUUCGAAGACGAAUGAUCCAAGUGGGGGAGAAUUAAAAUACCCCAGAUUUUUGGCCCUUUGAAAUAUCUUGAGCUCUGAGCUUACUGCCUUGGUAAUGACUUGUCUAAUAAGUCGUGGGGUAUCCUGACGAGUCAUUGGGACAAGUCGUAACCAUACCAGUAAGUUUGUGGCUAGAUUCUGCAUUGACUAUAAGUGGCUCACUAAGAGCCAUAAAGAUAUGUUAUAAGUCGUUAGGUGUAAUCAUAGGAUGUCUAGUGUAAGUCCUAAAUUGGGUUCUGUAUUGACUGUGACUAUACCUUACGAGUCGUAAGAUCCCAUUACAAGUGGUGCCAUUGAGUCGUAAGGAUAAUAUUGUAGGAUUCCUUGGUGGUAUUGCCUUAGUUACAACUUGAGGUAAUGAGUCAUAAGCAGUGGCUGCAAGUCAAGGGUUGACUCGUAGUCAAAGGCGACCUUUUUACAACAUUUAAGUUAAUGACAUUCUAGACAUUUCCCCUCUUACCCAACUUGAAACCCAUAUCUUAUAACCCCUUUAGGGUAUCAUUAUCCCUCAUAAAUAUAUCAAAGUAACUUCUUAACACUCUAAAAUUCCUCAAGGCUAAUAACACUUAAGAUUUUAAAGAGGUUGAUAAAAUUAGGUAUUUCAAGGGUGAUUUCUCUCCUUACAUCUUACUAUUACAGGCAUGUGACUCUUCUCUCAUUGUUAAUUUUGUAAAAGCAUAUGUAUUAAAGUGUUGUUCACAUAGAAUUGUUUUGAUUUUGAAAACAAGGAUUGUGUGUUUUGAAUGCUUAUUGUUGAAUAAUGUUUUCCCAUGAUUUAAUUCUAAUUGUUCAUUCUUUAAAAAUGGUUUUGAACAUUAUGGGUGCAUGGGUAUGGUAAAAUAACUAGGGAACUAUAAUUUUCCCAAACUUGUGACUUUUGAAGUGGUAACGAUCCCAAACUAUAGUGUGAAAUUGGCUUAGAGUUAUGAGAAAGGUGGGAAUUUGUAAAUUGAACUAGUUUUGAACUAUUGCAUGAUAUAAAGAGGUAUUUGAAACACAAUAGUAUGAUUUAAUGAACAAAGGCAGUCAUUGUUCCCCCACCUUGUAUUAAUUAACAAAGGGAGUUGUUUUCUCCAAGUUAAUGGAAAUUAAUUUGACAUGAUGUGUUACCUUGAAAGUGUAGUUGGUAUUAUGAUACCUACAAUGUAUGCCUUAAUGUGAAAUAUGGUUCAUGAUUGGGAUUGUAUGAUAAAUAAUUUAAUUGGGCUCUAAUAAGGGUUGUGUAGUUGAGUCAUGAAAGUGAAGGUCCAAGUGACCGACACUGGAAAUCGCAUUUGCUGAUGUGGGGUUCAAAGUGACCAGGGAGGUUUGAUUCCUCUUUAUUGUUAUUAUUUCAUGAUUAGGGAGGUGUGAGUCCCCCUUAAAUCAUUACAUGAUCUGGUGCUUAAAUCACCUUAUUAUAUGUUGGGAGGUUUAAGUCCCCCAUGUGCAUAUAUAUAAGAUUAUUCUCUGGUUUGUUUGGCUACACACAUAGGGGGAUCUACCAAGGGUGAGAGCUAAAGACCAUAUAGCUCUUGGGUACUAUUAUAAAAUAGUUGAGCUAAAAAAUCCAAGCUAAAGUUUUAAAAAUACAUGUUAACCCUUGUUCCCUAUCCAGGCAUGUAAUAUAUAUAUAUAUAUAUAUAUAUAUAUAUAUAUAUAUAUAUGCAUCUGAUCAUAUACAUUGGGUUGAAUGAUGUUAAACUGUUGAUUAUGUCAUUAUGUUAUUAUUAUCCCCAAGUUAAAUGUUAGUGUUCACCCUUCUAACCAUCUUCGAAUGUUGUAUUCCCAUGCGAUGUAAGAAUUGGUCACACUUCUAUGCAUUUUCUCAGUGAUUAGGACUCGGGAUCAUCUCGUGAGUUAACAUUAACGUGAUGAGCUUUCAUACAUCAGAAGUGUAUAUUUUGUGUUUUGUUCCUCUUAUGUCUUAGACUUAUUUUGGCAAUUGUCUAGGGCUUGUCCCGACACUUUAUUUAUAUUCAGUUUUGGAUCAUUUUUUAGAAGGCUUUGUUUGAACUACUAUGAUUAUUGUGCGGUGUCGAUUGGUUAUUUGGAUGGUCGUUGGGGUUAUUCAUAGACAUAUAUUGAUAUUUUCUCAAAUUGUUGCACGCUAUCUUAUUAUAUAUUUAAAAUUUCUCUGACUUUAGAGGGGGGUGAACGCCCUAGGUUUUGGCCCAUGGAAAUUUCUUGAGUUUUGAGACUUCUAUUGAUCAUAUGACUCACCAUAUGAUUCAUGCGGUGUUGGUAUGGGUCAGGUGACCCAACUCCUACGGUGUCCAAUAUUUGGUGGUCAAGUUCUGUUGUGGUUACGACUUGGUGGGUAUUGGUCAUAUGGUUUGGUCAUGGUGUAUUGGGUUGAUAGUUUACAUAAUCUGAAACUUAGUGACUUGACUUGGCUCUGAGUACGAAUGGAUCACUAAGAGUCAUGAGAAUAGGGUACAAGUGGUAUAGUGGAGUUGUAUGUUGUCCAGUGUCCAACCCCUUUGAUUCUGUCUUGGAUAUGACUUAAUGGUACUAGUCAUAUGGUAUGGGUAUGAAUGGGGCAAGGGUAGUCAUAUGGUGGAUAGUAUGUGGAUGUCUAACCUUCUAUUUUGGGUAUGACUGGACGUAUGAUGUAGGUACGAGUGGAGGGGUCCAAUAGUAUCCACCUGUGGAAAUUUUUACAGCUUUAGUUGGGGAUAUUCUGCAUAUUUCCCCUCUUAACCCCUUUUGACCCCAUGACACAAAACACCUUUAGAGGCUUUCAUAACCUAUUAUUGUCAAUCAAACACUCUUAAAUCUCUCUCAAGCUCUCGGUUUAAGAAAAGGCUAGGGUUUCUUCAAGUUGACUAAUUAAGGCUCUCAAGGGAGGUUUCUCUCUAUCUUUCUUGGUUUCUAAGGCAUGCUACUCCUCCCUCAUUAUUAGUUCAACUAAAAGCAUAUUUUAAUGAAUGGUUUUCAAGGUAAUAUUGUGGUAUUGAUUUGGUUUGAAAUAUAUGUUGGGGUUUUGGUUGUUCUUAGUUGGAUAAUGUUUUCCCAUGUUUUUCUUAUAACUUUCAUGUUAUAAUUAUUGUUUGAACAUGUUGUUGAAUGGAAGUGGUCAAUUAAUGCUUGGUUUUUGUUUUGGAAACUAUAUGCCCUUAACAUGUUUGAUAAAAUGCCAAUGAGAAUGAUUUUAUCACAUAGUUUGACUUUUAUUGAAAUCUUUGCAUUGCAUAGAAUGGUAAUGGAACUUAAAUUAGUUUGGUUGGUUUUAAAUUACUUUGGAAAGGCCUUGGUGGCUAUGGUUUUGGUUUAAUAAAAAAUUAUGUGGGGUACAUAGGAAUCCCAUAAGUGUUGGCUAAUGACAUUUCUUAUAAGCUAUAAUCGGUAUGCUGAUACCACUUUAUAAUGCCUUGGUAAUUAAAUUCUAGAAUUGGUGGUUUGAUUUUGUGCUAAAGUUUUUAAUUGGGAAAUAAUGGCGGGUUAUGGUAGCUAACUUUGAAGGUGUGAUUCUGAUGUACGAACACUAAAAACUCAUGUUUGCCGACAUCAGGGUUGGUCAUGGUAACCAUAUAUCUUUGGGGUACACAGGAAUCCCUUAAUUUUAUACUUGUAUAUGUGUAUCAUAGAGGGAGAAGGAUACACAGGAAUCCCCGGCCCCUAUGAUAUCUCUAGUUCAUGCGGCUACACGUACUGGGGACCGUUUAAAGGGUAACGCUGGACUCAUAUAGCUUGUGGGUGGCUUUAGGAUGGAAAAGCUACACAACCCAUGUUAAAGUCUUAAAUGCUUGCUAAAGUCGAUUUUCUUUUCCUACAUGGUAUAUAUAUGUAUGUGGCUGUAUUUAGUUGUUUACUUUGGUUUUGAAUAAUGGCAUUAUUUUAUCCUUAUUCCCGAGUACAUGCUAUCAUUCAUUAUGCUAGCCGUCUUCUGGGGCUAUAUCCCCAUGCGAUGCAGGAACCAUCCAUACUACUCCUCUUGCUCACUGACUUGGAUUCGAGGAUAACUCAGAGUCAGACUGAAGUGGUGAGCUUUUAUACUCUAGAAGACUCAAUUUCAUGCUAUGGAAUUCUUUACUUUGUUUUUGUCUCUUGAACUUUGGUUUUGGCUGUGGUCGGGGGCACGUCCUGACUAGAUGUUCCUUAUUUUUGGAUAAAGGCUUUGUGUGACUAGUAUAGGCAUAGGCGGUGUAGAUAUUUCUAUCAACCUUGGCCUUGGUAUUGAUAUUGGGGUUGACAUCAAUUGGAUGUCUGGUUGGAUACUUGGGUUGUUAUAGUUAUGAACUUUAUAUAACGUUCUUCAAUUAUAAUCAUUUUAUCUGGUUAUAUGUUCAGAAUUCAUCCCACAUAGGGUUCAGGGUGGUUAUAGUUUUGUAUUGGGGGUGGUCUACGAUCCCGAUUAAGAUUGAGGCACCUGACACGACUAGGCCCUAGUUAGGGUCAUGUCAGAUUGGUAUUAGAGCCCUAGGUUCAUAGUUAAUUGGGAGUCCACAAACCCAUGUCAAGUAGAGUCUCUUUUAAGAUGUGUAGUAUGCCACACUCAUAAGAGAGAGGCUACAAGGCAUUUAGGAAUGUUUAUCUUUCUUGUGUUCUAUUUUUGAGAAAUAGAGUCUAAGGUCCUGAAGUCUCCUCUAAUUCCCAUUUGUUCGCUUUUUAGAUCAUGCCUCCUCAAUGAUCUAAAGCUCAAAAACUCCUCUGCCCCACCCAAGGGCAAUUUUUAUGGGACCCAUUCUAUUUAUAGGGUCCAAACCUAGUCUAGGGGUCCAGUUCCUGAUCGUCCUGGAGUUCCACAAGUUUUCUUUAGUCCUUACCGAACUCCUCAGGUUGAAGUGACCAACGCUGAGUUUUAUCAGUUUAUUCAUAUAUUAUUAUAAUUUGUAGCUUCUCAGUCUGAGCAUGGUAUUCCUGUUAAUCCAUCUUCUGAGGCCACAAGGGUUAGCCAGUUCAUAAGGUUGAAUCCUCCAACCUUUAUGGUUGUUAAGGUUGAAGAGGAUCCUCAGGGUUUUCUGGAUGAGAUAAAAAAGAUCUUUCGUGUUAUUCAUGUCACGAAUAUAAAGGGCGUGGACCUUGCCACCAACCAAUUGAAAGAUGUUACGUACCAGUGGUAUGAGGAAUGGGAUUAGGCAAGGGUGACAAUGUUGAGUCAUAUCUACGGAAGGAUUUCCUAAUACUUUUCUAAACUGCUUUUUUCCUCAAGAUUUGAGGGAAGCAAAGGCGGAAGAGUUUAUUAAUAUGAAACAAGGUAAGAUGUCAGUCAAGGAAUAUGUCUUAAAGUUUCACCAGUUAUUGAGAUAUGCUCUGGAGGGAUAGAACAAGGAAGUUUACCUUUGGUUUGUCCCAAGAAUUGAUCUUAGAGAGUAAGGCUACCUUGUUCAACAAUGACAUGGAUAUCUCUAGGUUGGUGGUAUAUAUGCAACAGGUUGAGGAAGAAAUGAAGAAAUAAGCUGAGUUAGGGGAAAGGUAGGGCUAGAAGUUUAAAUUUUCUGAGCAGGGUCGUGGCCAACAGUAGAGUGGCCAAGAUGGUGGAAAAUGGCCAAAGAAGAAGUGGAGAAAUUUUAGGUCUUACUCAACAGCUAGCUCCCUACCCAAAACCAUCAAGGGUAGGUGUUUGUAUGGUGGCGACAACUUUACGGCAUAGGGCACCUAAUCUCAUGAUAGCAAGGCUCAGUGAGCUCUAUCAUAUCCUUCUUAUAGAUUCUAUGGUCUCUUAUAUCAGUGAUUCAGUGAUGAGGGAAGGGACAAGUUCUUCAACUGUGGUUAUUUAGGGCAUAUGCUUAGAAAUUGUCCUGUUGGUAAGGUUGCUUCGGGGGCAAACAAGGUUUCAAUUGCCUCUUCUUUAGCUUUGGCACCAAAGAGUGCACCAUCUGGCUUCAACAUUUGUCAAAAUCGUCUUUAUGAUCUCACUACUCAUCAGGAGUUUGGGGCAUCGCCUGAUAUUGUGAAUGGUAUGUUGGAACUCUUUUCUCGUGAUGUGUACUAUUUAUUUGAUCCGGGGUCCACUCUAUCUUAUGUAACCCCAUUUGUGGCUGUGUAUUUUGAUUUUGGUCCCGAGUGUGUUUCAGACCAUUUUUCUAUUUCUACAGUAGUAGUCGACUCUGUGAUUUCUAAAAAAGUCUAUAGGGGAUGUGUGGUAUCUGUUAGUAGUAAUGAAACUGUGGCGGAUCUAUUUGAAUUAGAUAUAGUGGAUUACAAUGUCAUAUUAGGGAUGGAUUAUUUGCACUCGUGUUAUGUUUCUCUAGAGUAUCGAACAUGUAAAGUUAUCUUUAAAUUUCCUAAUGAGCCAAUUAGCAAGUAGGAGGGUGGUUCCCUAGCUCCUAAGAGGAGGUUCAUAUCAUAUCUUAAGAUCGGAGAUUAAUAUCUAAAGGGUAUGUCUAUUAUCUAGUCUGGGUUAAAGAUUCUAAAUUGGAGGGUCCUUCUUUGUAUUUCUUACCUGUGGUGAAUGAAUUUCUUGAGAUCUUUCCUGAUGAUAUUCCUGGUGUUCCUCGUGACAGGGAGAUUUAGUUUGGGAUUGAUCUUACUUUGGACACUCAUCCAAUUUCUAUUCCUCCAUAUAUAAUGACUCUGAUAGAGUUGAAGAAGCUUAAGGAGCAACUAAAGAAUCUUUUAGGCAAGGGUUUCAUGCAUCCCAGUGUGUCCCCAUAGGGUGCACCGGUGUUAUUCAUGCAUAAUAAGAAUGGUUCCCUUCGAAUGUGCAUUGAUUACCAAUAGUUGAAUAAAGUGGCGGUAAAGAAUAAGUACCCUCUUCUAAGGAUAGAUGUCUUAUUUGAUCAGUUACAGGGUGUUAAGUUUUUCUCUAAGAUUGAUCUUUGAUUUGGGUAUGACCAGUUAAAUAUUAGGAAGUGGAUAUCCCUAAGAUUGCCUUUCGUACUCGUUAUGGGCAUUUUGAGUUUUUGGUUAUGUCUUUUGGGUUGACCAAUGCCUCAGCGAUAUUUAUGGAUUUGAUGAAUAGGGUCUUCCAUUAAUUUUUGGACUUGUUUGUCAUUAUUUUCAUAGAUGAUAUUCUAAUAUACUCUAAGAGUGAGGUGGAUCAUGUUGAUCACCUCUAUGUUGUAUUACAGACCUUGAAAGAGCAAUAGUUGUAUUCCAAAAUUUUGAAACGUGAAUUCUGGUUGAACAUUAUCACUUUUCUAGGGCAUAUCAUUUCUAGCGAAGGGAUCAUGGUCGAUCCACAGAAGGUUGCAGUAGCUACGAAGUGUCCUGGACCCACGACUCUAAUUGAUAUUCCAAGCUUUUUGGGUUUAAAUCGUUACUAUAGGAGGUUUGUGGAGAGUUUUUCCUCUGUAGCUGCCCAUUGACUAGGUUAACUCAGAAGAAGGUGAGGUUCUUGUAGUCUGACGCUUAUGAGGGCAGUUUCAAGAACCUGAAGGAUAAGCUAACUUUGGCUUCGAUUUUGACUUUGCUUGAAGGCAUAAAUGGGUUUGUGGUAUAUUAUGAUGCAUCCCAUGUGGAUCUUGGUUGCAUCUUGAUGUAGCAUGGAAAGGUGAUAGCCUAUACCUCUAGAGAGUUAAAGGUGCAUGAGAUAAAUUAUCUAACUCAUAAUUUGGAUUUGUUAGUUGUGGUCUUCGCAUUGAAAAUCUGGCAUUAUAAUUUGUAUGGAGUGCAUGUGGAUAUCUUUUAUGAUCAUAAGAGCCUAAAAUAUGUGCUUACUCAGAAAGAGCUUAACCUUAGGCAAAGGAUAUGGCUUAAGCUACUCAAGGAUUAUGACAUGAGUCUUCACUACCAUCCAGGUAAAGCUAAUGUAGUUGUUGAUGCUCAUAGCAGGUUAUCCAUAAUGAGUCUAGCUUUUGUGGAUAAGGAAAAGUGGGAAAUGGUGAAAGAUAUUCACCAUUUGGCUAAUCGUGGAGUUUGUUUGAUGGAUGUUGAGGAUGGUGGUAUGUUCAUUCAGAAGGUGGUGUAAUCAUCUCUGGGUGCUAAAAUCAAGGAGAAGCAAGUGUUAGAUCUUAUGUUGAUGAGGAUCAAGGGUGAUGUUGGUGGGCAGAAGAUGAUGGCCUUUGAUAUUAAUGGUGAUGGUACUUUGUAAUACCAAGGGAGAUUAUGUUUUCUCGACGUCGACGAUUUACGAGAAAGGAUCUUAGCUGAGGCGUAUGAGUCGUGCUAUGUUGCUUAUCCUAGUUCAACGAAAAUGUAUCAUGACCUUAAGAUGUAUUACUGGAACAAUAUGAAGCGAGAUGUGGCUAGUUUUAAGAAAAAGUGCAUGGUGUGCCAACAAGUGAAAGUUGAUCAUAGGAGGCCUAGAAGAUUAUAUCAAGAGAUCAAGUUGCCUAUGUAGAGGUAGGAAGUGAUCACUAUGGAUUUCGUUAUCUGUCUUCCUGGUUUUUGGAAUAAGUUUGAUUUGGUUUGGGUCAUCGUGGAUAGGAUGACGAAGUUGGCUCACUUUUUGCCAGUGAGGACUAACUUCUUGGCUUAGGAUUAUUGAAGGUUAUAUCUCUAUGAGAUUAUGAAGUUGCAUGGGGUAUCAUUCUCUAUCAUCUCAAAACAUAAUAAGCAGUUUUUAUCUCACUAUUAGCGGUCAUUUUAGAAAGGUUUGGGGACCAAAGGAGAGUCUUAGUACCACUUUUCACUAGCAGUUGGAUGGGUAAGCAGAAAGGAAUAUUUAGACAUUAGAGGAUAUGCUUUGAGUUUCCGUGAUUGACUAUGGUGGUAGUUGGGUUAAACAUUUGCCUCUUACAGAGUUUGCUUACAAUAAUAGCUACCACUCCAGCAUUGGGAUGGCCCCGUUUGAAGCUUUGUAUGGUAGGAGGUGUACGUCUCUUAUUGGAUGGUUUGAUAUUGGUAAGGCAGAGAUGUUUGGCCCAGAAUUAGUUCACCAAACCAUGUAAAAGGUGAAGGUGAUUUGGGAUAGGCUUAAGGCUGCCCAAAGUCGCCAAAAGUCUUAUACGGAUGUGAGGUAAAGGGAGUUAAGAGUUUGAGGUUGGGGAUAGGAUGUUCUUAAAGGUUUUUCCCAUGAAAGGAGUGAUGUGGCUUAGUAAGAAGGGAAAGCUUUGCUCCUAGUAUGUUGUUUCAUAUUUGGUUUUGAGGAGGGUUGGCAAUGUUGCAUAUGAGUUGGAGUUUCCUUAUAGUUUGAGCUCCAUCCACCUAGUGUUCUGUGUUUCUAUGUUAAGGAAGUGCAUGGGUGAUUCAUCGCAAAUUAUGCUUAUCAAGGAUAUUGGUAUUUUGGAUUCUUUAUCCUAUGAGAAAAUCCUGGUUGAGAUCAUAGAUCGACAGGUUCAUCAGUUGUGGACCAAGAAAGUGGCCUCAGAAAAGGUUUUAUGGAGGAACUACAAGGUUGAAGAGGCUAAUUGGGAAGCUGAAGAGGACAUGAAGCCCAAGUAUCCAUUUCUAUUUUCUGCUUUGGAAAUUCUUGUGGAAGGUAUGUGUUCUUCAUCAUACUUUUGUUUUCUAACUUAGUUAAAGGAAAAAUUAAUUUCUUUACAACUUUGUUAUCUAACUUAGUUAAAGGUUAGAGAUGCUAGGGUGUAAAUUGUGCCUGUAAUACCUUGUUCCAUCAUUCGAGGACGACUGAUCCAAGAUGGGGAGAAUUGAAACACCCUAUGUUUUGGCCCAUGGAAAUUUCCUAAGUUUUUAACCUUCUAUUCAUCGUAUGACUCACCAUACGAGUCGUAUGGUAUUGGUACAGCUCAGGUGACCCAACUCGUAAAGGGUCCAACCGUACCCACCUACGGAAAUUUUUACAGUUUGAGUUGGGAGUAUUCCGGACAUUUACCCACUUUACCCCUUUUGAAACCACGACAUAAAAUACCUUUGAAGGCUUCCUUAACCUAUUAAUUUUAACCAAACACUCUUUAAUCUCUCUCAAAAUCUUGGUUCAAGAAAAGGAUAGGGUUUCUUCAAGGUGACCAAUUAAGGAUCUCAAGGGUGGUUUCUCUCCAUCUUUCUUUGUGUCUAAGGUGUGUUAAUCCUCCCUCAUUGUUUGUUCAACUAAAAGAAUGUUUUAAUGAAUGGUUUUCAUGGUAAUAUUGUGGUAUUGAUUUGGUUUUGAAAUAUAUAUUGGGGGUUUUGGUUGUUCUUGAUUGGAUAAUGUUUUCCCAUGUUUUUCUUAUGAUUUUUCUGUUAUAAUUAUGGUUUGAACAUGUGGUUGCAUGGUAAUUGUCAAUUGAUGCUUGGUUCUGGUUUUGGAAACUAUAUGGCCUUAACAUGUUUGAUAAAAUGCCAAUGAGAAUGAUUUUAUCACAUAGUUUGACUUUUAUUGAAAUCUUUACACUACAUAGUAUGGUAAUGGAACUUAAAUUGGUUUGGUUGGUUUUAAAUGAAUUUGGAAAAUCCUUGGUAUCUAUGGUUUUGGUUUAAUUGGAAAUCAUGUGAGGUACAUGGGAACCCCCUAAGUGUUGGAUAAUGACAUUGCUUGCAAGCUAUAGUCGGUAUGACGAUACCAUUUCCUAAUGCCUUGGUAAUUAAAUUCUGGAAUUGGUGGUUUGAUUAUGUGCUAAAGGUUUUAUUUGGACAAUAAUAGAGGGUUGUGAUAGCUUACCGUGAAGGUGUGAGCCUGAUGGACGGGUAUUAGAAACUCAUGUUUGUCGACAUGAGGAUUGGUCGUGGUGACCAUAUAUGUAACGCCCCAAAUCUAGUACCUGGAAUGCUACACGGUGCUCAUGACCCCGAAAGGCAACAAGCUAACCCAUGGGUGAUAUCUGUGCCAGAACACUGCAUAAUAUACUGUAUAAAUGCGGAAAUAAAGACUGAGAGGCCAUAAGGUUCAAAUAACUGAUAAAAAUAUCUGAGAGUAUGGUAUAUCAAUACCAAAAUGAAAACUUAAAUAAACUGUCUAACAUACUGUAGUCUGGAAGCCUCUAAACUGUCUAAAAACUAUGGAGUUGAUGGGACAUAUCCUCAAAUAACUCCAAACUACUGAAAUAAUAAAGUAAUAAAAUAAUCAUGCUAUCCUCGAAUGAUGAGGGCUCACUGCUAGUCUGGCUGCUGACGUCUGAUCUACUAAGGUUGCUCUAGAGCUCGUACUUCCAAACCUAUGGUACAAAAUACCAUAGCGCAAAUGCAUUAGUACGAUUGAAUGUACUGGUAUGAAAGUGAAGUAGGUUGAAUGCAAAGGGUUUAAAUGCAUGAACAAUGCUAAAUGACUGCAUAACAUGAACGUAUGAAUACAAGCAUGAAUAAGUGACUGUAACUGAAUUCAUGAUGUACUGACUACUGAUUCUGAAUGUUGAUAACAUGAGUUACUGGUGACUGAUAUAACUGAUACUGAGCGACUGUGUCUGACAGUCGAAAUUCUGAUGGAACUAGCUGAGUUUCAUACUGAGCUUUGCGAAUAUAUCUGAUAGUCCUGAGUUUUGUAGAACUAUUUGAGUUCUAUUACUGAGACUGAGACUAAAACUGUAACUGUGGGAAGUAGUCCUCUAACCGACAGGCCCCAAAUAAAGCAAUAUAGCUGAGUUGGGGUCCAAUCUAUAACCCCAAUUGGAAGGGUGUCAAUACCGCACCACUUGUAAGGACAAGCUGUGAGUGACCCUCAUCUGACAGAUACUCUAAUGAGAAUGGUGAGACCCUCAUCUGAUAGGUUAAGCCACCUCAUCAACCCUCGACUGGCAGUUUGAUAUCUUAAACUAUGCUGGCUACGCAGUUCUGGAAUGCAAGGAUUGCUUCUAAGAAUCACACCCUUACCUGGCAGGUAAGUUCCAAUCCUUGGGUUCACUUGGUGCUAAAUCCUACUCCCAUCUGAAUAGACACUAAACAUGAUUAUUUGAACUGAAAUGGACUGAAUUCAUUGAGUUCCGUUGACUCACAGAAUACUACUGAGAUUACUGAAUUCUGAGCUUUCUGAGGUUUUUGGAAUUACUGAGUUUACUGAGUUUUCCUGAGUCACAUGACUAAGUUCUAUGGAUCAUGGAUUGACUAAGAGUAUCUUGAAAACAUGACACUAGAUCUAGGCACACAGCUAAAUUGUAGGGUACAAGUACCCCCAGGACUCGAUAGAAGGAAACUGACAAGGCAUGACAUUCUUGAAUACGUGGCCAACAAUCCAUAAUACAAUAAGUUGGGGAUUUAAUGAAGUACAUGGUUAUCAUAAUAUUGUACAUGGUAGGAAUGCAUAUAAUCAAUGUCAUAAUUUCAUACUGUAAUAUCAUGAGCAUUCCAACAAACAUCUGCAUUGCACCACAAUAGCAUGGGAGUCAUUUGAACAUAAGGGUAAAACAUACAUUUAUCAUAUCGGUCACAAUUGAGCUAUAAUACAUAAUUUCUAUCCUCUUAGGCAUUUUUUCAAACACAAUACAUGCACAAUUUAGGGCAUAGCUGUAAUCAUUAAAUUACACCUCAUAAACAACUCAAUUCAUGGUUUUUAACUUGCAUGCUAACGUAGUUUCAUCAAAAACACGUAAAGAUUCCAACUUGGGAAUCGUACAAUAAGAUAAACAUGGUUACUAAACAACCCAGAACAUAAAUAUCAUGAUUUAUAAUUUGAAAUAGGGUUCUUCAGCUGUAUGGAUAAAAAGAAUCCAUAAAUCAACACUAUGCAUACCUUGGAUAGAAGAUUCUUGAAAACAAAUGGUGAAAUUCUGGAAAUUGGAUCCUCAGUUGAAAACCCUAAGCUUGUUCUUGAUGGAUUUAGAGAGAGAUAAGGGUAUUUAGGUUCAAUUGGGGCUUAAUCCCAUGUUUUAGACUUAUAUAGGGGUGGAAAAUUGACCCAUUUGCCCUUGAGGAUGCGGUCAUUUAAUGAAUAAAAACGGGGUACCGACGCAACAAGCGACGCGAUGCAUUGAUGGCUGCGACGCAAUACUAGAUACGUCCCACCAUGAUCGCGUUGAGCCUCAGAAUUUUUGGCUCUGGCAGCCUGCACAAAUGUUGUCCAACAGAUUGGUGAUGCGGUGUGCCCUGAUCGCGUUGGUCCACUAUUUUGGGACUCCAAACAUGAUCUACAUGUGUUCCAAAAAAUCCAAAACUUGUUCGGGAAUACCUAUUGACUUUCCUGAUUAUGAAUUAAUAAAAAUAUGAACCAUUAAAGGAAGUUAAUGUGGAGAAAUGACAUUGCCAACUUUUGAAGGCCAAUAAUCGGCUAAGUCUAGGAACCUUACUAGAAUUUUCUAAGUCUUGGAUCCCUUGACAAGCUUAACGAACUGAAUUAAGUUUUAGGAUUUUACGGGGUCUUACAAUAUGUCCCCAUUGAGAACACUCAUCCUUAAAUGAGAUCGACUGAGAGGGGAGAAAAGAUAAACUAACGUGCAUACUGAACAUGAACAACUGAAACAUGAUUCCAUGACUGACAUAACUGAUAACUGAAUACAUCAUACUGAGAAUGCCUAUCUGAUGCAUGUGUAGCUGAUUUAUGAAUACAUAACUGAGUGUUCUGAUGAAGUGAGUCGAUAUAGAGUUUAUAAAGGAAUUCUGAUCAUGAACUGGAUACCAAGUUGUGACUGAUUUCUGAAUAUGAAUCUUAAAGCUUAAGGAGAUCUAUUACCUUGGGUAGACUCUAAGUUAGCAAAGAAGAGGUGAGGAUACUUAGUACGCAUGUCCACUUCUGCUUCCCAAGUAGCUCCCUCAAUGGACUGAUUCUGUCAAAGAACUUUGACUAAAGGGACUUCUUUGUUCCUCAGUCUACGAGUCUGAUAGUUAAGGAUUUCAACUGGAAUCUCCUUAUAAGAGAGGCUAUUCUGGACAUCUAUGCUCGGAUUAGGGACUACAACUAAUGGAUCACCUAUGCACUUAUUGAGAAAAGAGACAUGAAAAACUAGAUGAAUUGAGGCUAGAUCUAAAGGUAACUCGAGCUCAUAAUCUACUUUGCCAAAGCAACUGAGAAUUUUGAAGGAACCAAUAUAUCGGGGACUGAGAUUUCCCUUAUUUCCAAAUCUCUUCACUUCCUUUAUGGGAGAAAUCUUUAGAUAGACAUAGUCGCCAAUCUCAAACUCGAGAUCCUUUCUGCGCAUAUCUACAUAAGACUUCUAUCGGCUCUGAGAAGCCCGAAGUCUUUCUCUGAUCAACUGGACUUUUUCUAAGUCAUCGAAUACUAAGUCAGUCCUUAUGACUAAGGCCUCACUAACUUUGUACCAAAUGCCUGGAGAUCUGCACCUCCUACCAUAGAGAGCUUCGAAUGGAGCCAUCCAAAUGCUGGACUAAUAGUUGUUAUUGUAUACAAACUCAAUCAAAGGCAAGUGGUCAUCUUAACUACCCUUCAAUUACACACUCCCUUAGCAUAUCUUAUAAAGUCUGAAUGGUCCUUUCUGCUUGACUAUCUGUCUAAGGAUGGAAUGUUGUACUGAAAUGAACUUGGGUACCAAGACCCUUUUAGAAUGCUUUCCAAAAAUAAAAGGUGAACGGGGUACCUCUGUCUGAGAUAAUAGACAAAGGAAUAUCGUGUAAUCUGACCAACUCCCUGAUAUAGAGUUUGGCGUAAUCCUUGGCUGAAUAGGAGGUAUGGAUUGGAAAAAAAUAAGCUGAUUUGAUCAUCUUGUCUACAAUGACCCAAACUAAAUCAUGCUGAUGACUAGUACGAGAAAAACCCAUCACAAAUUCCAGGUUCACUUCUUCCCACUUCCAUAUAGGAAUACUAAACUCCUGAUAGACCCACUAGGCUUCUGAUGCUCUAUGUUAACUUGCUGACAUGUAGAGCACUUAGCCACAAACUCUGCAACAUCUCUCUUCAUCUCACUCUACCAAUAGAUCUCCCACAAGUUACGGUACAUCUUUGUGGCCCCUUGAUGAAUAGAGUAACGUAUUUGCCUCUGCAAUAAUUUGUUACCUCAAGUUAUCUACACUAGGAAUACACAAACGACCCUGACAACGCAAUACACUAUCCCCCCUUGGGGGAAAACCUCUACUUUCUAAUCCUUGACUGACUCUUUCAACCUGACUAAACUGGAAUCUCUACCUUACUUUUGUUUCACCUCAGAAACUAGAGAUGAUUCAUAACUACUCUGAACCCAUAUAUCACCGUCUUCUGUAUCAACUAAGCGAACACCUAGUCCAGUAAGCUGGUGGACUUCCUAAGAUAGCUUCUUCUUACUACCCUCAACAUAAGCAAUACUACCUAUAGACAAUCUACUGAGAGCCUUGGCCACUACAUUGGCCUUUCCCGGAUGAUGAAGGAUACUCAUGUUGUAGUUUUUCAAGAGCUCUAACCAUCUUUUCUGAUGGAGGUUAAGAUUUUUUUGAGAGAAUAAGUACUUAAGGAUUUUAUGAUCUAUGAACACAUCUACAUGAACACAGUACAAGUAAUGCCUCCAAAUCUUUAAAGAAAAUACUAGUUUUACUAACUCAAGAUUAUGAGUUGGAUAAUCUUCUCAUGAGGUUUAAGCUGUCUGGAGGCGUAGGCUAUGACCUUACAUUAUUCAUGAGGAAACAACCCAAACCUACUCUGGAUGCAUCACAAUACACUAUGAACCCAUCUGAACCAUCUGGAAGAGCCAAAACUGGAGCUGAGGUGAGUCGAGUCUUCAACUCCUAAAAACUCUUUUCGCAAGGAUCUGACCACUAAAACUUGACUUUCUUCUAAGUGAAUCUAGAAAUAGAGGAUGCAACAGAAGAGAAUCCCUUAACAAACUAUCUGUAAUAGCCAGCUAAACCUAAGAAACUCCUGAUAUUUCAUAGAGAGAUAGGUCUGGGCUAGUUUCUUACUGCUUCAGUCUUUUGAGGAUCUACUCUAAUGCCAUCACCGGAUAUGAUAUGUCCAAGAAAUGCUACAGACCUUAUCCAAAAUUUGUACUUAUUGAAUUUAGCAAACAACUGGUGAUUUUUGAGAGUCUGAAGCACUGUUCUGAGAUGGUCUGUAUGAUCAUAGUCACUACAGGAAUAGAAAAGGAUGUAAUCUAUGAAAACUAUGAUGAACAUGUCCAAGUACUGCUUAAACACCUAAUUCAUCAAGUCCAUGAAAGCUGCUGGGGCAUUGGUAAGACCAAAGGACAUGACUAAGAAUUCGAAAUGACCAUAUCGAGUUUGAAAGGUUGUUUUCAGAAUAUCACCUUCCCUGAAUUUGAGCUGAUAAUAGCCCGAUCUGAGGUAUAUCUUAGAGAAAUAGUUGGCACCCUAAAGUUGGUCAAAUAAGUCAAUGAUUCAGGGAAGUGGAUUCUUGUUCUUGACUGUGACUUUAUUGAGUUGACGGUAAUCAAUGCACAUUCUGAGAGAACCAUCUUUUUUUGCAUGAAUAAGACUGGUGCACCCUAUGGGUAAAAAAUGGGUCUGAUAAAUCCCUUAUCUAAGAGAUUCUUCAACUGCUCUUUUAAUUCUCCAAGUUCUGCUACUGUAUUUUGUAUGGAGAAAUAGAUAUAGGCUAAGUAUCUAGAAGAAGAUCAAUGCCGAAGUUUAUUUCCCUUUCGGGAGAAAUUCUUGAAAGAUCUUUGGUAAAGAUAUCUAAAUAUUCAUUCACAGCUGGGACUGAUUCAAGAUUGGGAGUUUUAGAACUAGUGUCCUUAACUCGAACAAGAUGAUAGACACAUCCUUUACAUAUCAUUUUCCUUGACCGAAGGUAAGAAACAAGCUGAGCUCUGAAAGCUAAAGUACUACCCCUCCAUUCUAGGAUAGGUUCAUUCAGAAAUUAAAACUGGACAACUCUAUUUCUGUAGUCUACUAUGGCAUAGCUGGAAUGAAGCUAAUCCAUACUAAGAAUGACAUCAAAAUUGGUCAUCUCUAAUUCAACUAAGUCUGUUAAAGUGACUUUCUGAGAUAUCAUAACCGGGCAGUUCCUGUAUACCUACCAGGCUAUGAUGGUUUUACCAACUGGGGUAGAGACUGAAAAGGGCUCUGCUAGAAUUUUAGGGCUGACUCCGAAAUGACCUGCUAUAUAAGGAUAAUAAAGGACAAAGAGGCUCCUGGAUCUGGCAAAGCAUAAAUAUGCAAGUGAAAAAUCUAUAACAUACCUGUAACCAUAUCAGGAGAAUUUUCCUGAUCUUGCUAGGACUGGAGAGCAUAAAGUCUAUUUGGGCGUUGCCCACUAGUAGCACUGGAAGUGGCACCCUACUGAUUUGGGCGAUCGGUCUGAUCUAAGAAACGGUUUGCUGACUCUGGGAACCUAUCUGAGGGCAAUCUCUGACUCUAUGACCUAGCUUUCUACAUCCAAAACAAAUAUCGCUGCCAACUCUGCAAAUACCCUGAUGGUGUUUCCCACAAGUCUGACAAAGAGGAUUGAUUUGGGCACUACUAACAAUGCCCUGAGACUUAGAACCUGGCACCCUAUCUCUGCUAGCAUCACUAAAUUUUGGCACUGAAACACUAGCUAAAUAAGGAGAUGGAACUGAUAACUUAGAAAGAAACUGAGAACGGUUUCCUCCCUCUGACUUAGGCAGAGCAAUGUUGAAACUACUUGUCCUUGGUCUCUUAUUCUGCUUCUCUCUCAUCUUAAUAUUUUGCUCUUCUAUCUACUGAGCAUGGGUUAUAAGGUUGGAUACGUUCAUGUCACUAUUCAACAUUGCAGCCUGCACUCAUUAACCACACUAUCGUUUGCCCCAAAAAAAACUUACUCAUCUUAGCCCUAUUAUCUGCAUUUACAUGAGGAGCAUAUCUGGUUAAUUGAGUAAACUUAAAAGAAUACUCUUUCACUGUUAUGUUGCCCUGCCUAAGGUUGAUAAAUUUUAACACCUUAGCUUCUCUCAACUCUAGGGGAAAGAAUCUAUCUAAGAAUACGGUGACAAACUCCUCCCACUCUAAGGAUCCUGCAUCAACUGACCUCUAUGACUUCUACUAUUUGAACCAACUGUGAGCAAUGUCCUACAACUGAUAUGCAGAUAGCUCAACACUCUCACUAAAACUAACCCUCAUGAUGUCUGUAACUUUCUAAACUUGGUCAAAAAAAUCCUAAGGAUUCUCUUCUGACUUAGACCCAAAAAAAGAUAGAGGAUUUAUCCUGGCUACUGCUGAAUUGGCCACUGGGUUGGUAGGAACGACAUCUGGUCGUUCAUUCUGAGAAGUAACUGACUUAGCAAGAGUAGUGAAUGCAGCUCUGAACUCUACAUGAGAGACAUGUUCUUCCAAAGGAUCUUCGGGAUGAGGGGCUGACUGAUUUCCAGUUCUCUUCUUGGGAGGCAUGUUUUGUAAAUGGAAAAGAAAAGGAUUAGACUAAGAGAUUAACUUGAGACUAUGCUCAUUGGCACGACAAAAAUACUAAAAGAAGGAAAUCUAUUUCUAAAACAUCCUAUAGCCUCCUAUACAUAAAUAUGGCACGCAACACACCCAUGUACAAGACUCUACUAGAUGUGGCUUUUAGACUUCCUAGGACACUGUUGAACCUUAGGAUCUGAUACAAAGUUUUUAACGCUCCAAAUCUGGUACCUGAAAUGCUACACAAUGCUUAUGACCCCAAAAGGCCACAAGCUAACCCAUUACUGAUAUUUGUACCUGAACACUGCAUAAUAUACUAUAUAAAUAAGAAAAUAAAGGUUGAGAGGCCAUAAAGUUCAAAUAACUAAUAAAACAUAACAUCUGAGAGUACGGUAUAUCAAUACCAAAAUGAAAACUGAAAUAAACUCUCUGAACAUACUAUAGUCUGGAAGCCUCUAAACUAUCUAAAAAUUAUGGAGUUGAUGGGACAUGUCCCCAACUAACUCUGAACUACUAAAAUAAUAAAGUAAUAAAAUAAUUAUGCUAUCCUUAAAUAAUGAGGCCUCAUUGCUAGUCUGGCUGCUGAACGUCUGAUCUACUAAAGAUGCUCUGGAGCUCAUACUUCUGAACCUAUGGUAUAAAACACCAUAGUGUAAAUGCAUCAGUACGAUUGAAUGUACUAGUAUGCAAGUGAGGUAGGAUAAAUAUAAAGGGUUUAAAUGCAUGAAUAAUGCUAACUGACUGUAUAACAUAAAUGUGAGAAUACAUCCAUGAAUAGGUGACUGUAACUGAAUUCGUGAUGAUACUGACUACUAAGUCUGAAUUCUAAUAACAUGAGAUACUGGUAACUGAUAUAACUGAUACUGAGCGACUAUGUCUGACAGUCUAUGUUUUGAUGGAACUAGCUGAGUUUCGUACUGAGCUGAGUGACUGUAUCUGACAGUCCUGAGUUCUGUAGAACUAUCUGAGUUCUAUUACUAAGAUUAAGACUGAAACUGUAACUGUGGGAAGUAUUAAUCUAACCAACAUACCCAAAUAAAGCAAUAUAGUUGAGUUGAGGUCCAAUCCAUAACCCCAAUUAGAAGGGUGCCAAUACCACACCACUGGUAAGGACAAGCUGUGAGUGACCCUCAUCUAGCAGGUACUCUAAUGAGAAUGGUGGGACCCUCAUCUAACAGGUUAAGCCACCUCAUCAAACCUUGACUGGCAGUUUGAUAUCUUAAACUACGCUGGCUACGUAGUUCUGGAAUGCAAGGAUUGCUUCUAAGAAUCACACCCUUACCUGGCAGGUAAGUUCCAAUCCUUGGGUUCACUUGGUGCUAAAUCCUACUCCCAUCUGAAUAGACACUAAACAUGAUUAUUUGAACUGAAAUAGACUGAAUUCAUUGAGUUCUGUUAACUCAUAGAAUACUACUGAGAUUACUAAAUUACUGAGCUUUCUGAGGUUUUUGGAAUUACUGAGUUUACUGAGUUUUCCUGAGUCACACGACAGACUAAGUUCUAUGGAUCAUGGCAUGACUAAGAGUAUCUUGAAAACAUGACACUAGAUCUAGGCACACAGCUAAAUUGUAGGGUACAAGUACCCCCAGGACUCGAUAGAAGGAAACUGACAAGGCAUGACAUUCUUGAAUACAUGACCAAUAAUCUAUAAUACAAUAAGUUGGGGAUUUAAUGAAGUACAUGGUUAUCAUAAUAUUGUACAUGGUAGGAAUGCAUAUAAUCAAUGUCAUAAUUUCAUACUGUAAUAUAAUGAGCAUUCCAACAAACAUCUACAUUGCACCACAAUAGCAUGGGAGUCAUUUGAACAUAAGGGUAAAACAUACAUUUAUCAUAUGGGUCACAAUUGAGCUAUAAUAGAUAAUUUCUAUCCUCUUACGUAUUUUAUCAAACACAAUACAUGCACAAUUUAGGGCAUAGCUGUAAUCAUUAAAUUACACAUCAUAAACAACUCAAUUCAUGGUUUUCAACUUGCAUGCUAACGUAGUUUCAUCAAAAACACGUAAAGAUUCCAACUUGGGAAUCGUACAAUAAGAUAAAUAUGGCUACAAAACAACCCAGAACAUAAACAUCAUUUAUAAUUUGAAAUAGGGUUCUUGAGCUUUAUGGAUAAAAAUAAUCCAUAAAUCAACACUAUGCAUACCCUGGAUAGAAGAUUCUUGAAAACAAAUGGUGAAGUUCUAGAAAUUGAAUCCUCAGUUGAAAACCCUAAGCUUGUUCUUGAUGGAUUUAGAGAGAUAAGUGUAUUUAGGUUGAAUUAGGACUUAAUCCCGUGUUUUAAACUUAUAUAGGGGUGGGAAAUUGACCUUUUUUCCCUUAAGGAUAUGGUCAUUUAAUGACUAAAAACUGAGUGCCGAUGCUAUAAGCGACGUGGCGCAUUGAUGUCUGCGAUGUGAUGCUCGAUGCAUUGCACCAUGAUUGUGAUGAGCCUUAGAAUUUUUGGCUCUGGCAGGCUACACAAAUGUUGACCAACGCGAUUGGCGAUGUGGUGUGCCAUGAUCGCGUGGGUCCACUAUUUUUGGACUCUAAACAUGAUCUAAACGUGUUCCAAAAAAUCCAAAACUUAUUCGAGAACACCUAUUAACCUUCCUAGUCAUGAAUUAAUAUAAAUACAGACCAUUAACGUAUGUUAAGGUGGCAAAAUAAGAUUUCUAUCUUUCGAAGGACAAUAAUAGGCUAAGUAUAGGAACCUAGCUAGAAUUUUCUAAGUUUGAGACCCCUUGACAAGCUUAAAGAACUGAACUGAGCUUUAGGAUUUUAUGGGGUCUUACAAUAUACUUAUGGGGUACAUGGGAAUCCCCUAAGUUUAUACUUGUAUAUAUGUAUCAUGGAGGGCAAAUGAUACACAGGAAUCCUCGUCCCCUAUAAUAUCUCUUGUUUGUGUGGCCACGCGCACUGGAGUCCAUUCAGAGGUAACACUGGACCCAUAUAGCUCAUGGGUGAUUUUUAGACGAUCAAUAUACAUAACCCAAGUUAAAGAUUUAAAUACAUGCUAAACAUGGUUCCCUUUUCUUGGCAUGCUAUAUAUAUGUAUAUAUGUAUGUGAUUGCAUAUGGUUAUUUAUUUUGGUUUUGAAUAAUGGCAUUAUUUUAUCCUUAUUCCUGAGUACAUGCUGUCGUUCAUCAUGCCAACUGUCUUCGGGCAUUGUAUUCUUACGCGAUGCAGGAACCAGCCAUACUACUACUCCUUCUAAGUGACUUGGAUUCUGGGAUAGCUCAAAAUCAGAGUGAAGUGGUGAGCUUUCAUACUUUGGAAGACUCCAUUUCAUGAUAUGGACUUCUUUACUAUGUUUGUGUUUCUUGGACUUUGGUUUUGUCUAUAGUCGAGGGCAUGUCCCGAUCAAAUAUUCCUUAAUUUUUAUUAAAGGCUUUGUGUGACUACUAUGGGCAUUGUCGGUGUUAGUGUUGACAUCAACCUUGGCCUUGGUAUUGGUAUUAGGGUUGACACCUGUUGGAUGUUUGGUUGGAUUCUUGGGUGGUUAUGGUUAUUCACUUUAAUUAAUGUUCUUCAAUUAUAAUUAUUUUAUCUUUUUAUAUGUUCAAAAUUCAUCCGACAUAGGGUGAAAGGCGGUUAUGGUUGGAUAUUAGGGGUGGUCUUUGGUCCAGGUUGGGAUUGAGGCACAUGAAACAACUAGGCCCUAGUUUGGAUCAUGUCAAGGGGUGUUGUGUUUGGGUUGAUUAGGUGCAGGGGUUAUCUCUAGUCCAUGUAGGACUUGAGACAUCUGACACGGCCAGGCCCUGGUUUGGGUCAUGUAAAAGAGGUUAGGAAAUGAGAGAACGAGCCAUGAUGCUAGAGUCAAAGCUCAAGCAGAGGCUGGCCAGAAUCUUGAGGGGUAAGCAUCACCUCCCCAACCUUAGGAUCAUUUGAAAAAGAUAGAAUAAGUAGAGAAAUAGAGUGUGAAGCUCGAGACAAUGACUUAAGUUGGGGUUGCAGGACUACCCCUAUGUCCGCUAUGGUUAUUCAGUAGGUGUUAGCUUUUCUAAGUGGGUUGGUUGGGACUAGCUUAUUAAGAUCUAAUUGUUCAUCAUACUAACUCCAUAGAUCCUCGAAUGGAUGAGGCUUUAGAGACCGAUGCUUUUCCUUGCCAGGUGUUGAGUUCGAUGAUGAGUGAUAAAAAAUGAAUUUUUGAUAAAAUUCUUGAAUAUGACAUCUCUAACAUUCCAGGGAACUGAGAGCACAGAAGAUUUAUCAGAUUUGAGAGCACUUUAUUCUCCAUUCAUCAUUCUCUCUUAAACAAAACCCUAAGACUCAUACUUCCUCUCCAAGAAACUCAAGAAUUUCUCUGUUAACUCUCCAAGAUAAGUUAAGAUUAAGGAUUCCCAAACAAGAACACUAAGAAUUCAUCUCCAAAGCAUCCAUAAGAAUCCAAGAUUCGAGCCUUUCAUCAAAUAUUAUCAAUUAAGGUAUGUGGGAUUUUGAACAAGGAUAAAUCUUUCAUCCUUGUGCCCAAAAACUUACUUAAAAUUAUAAAUUUCUAAGUUUUGUAUGAUUUUCCAUGAAAUUUAAGUUAUGGUUGAUACCCAAAUCCUCAUUAUUUUAGUUUAUGAAAUUAUUAUAAUAUGUAAGGCUCCAAUUGCAAGAAAUUUACAUAUGUUCAUGUUUGAAAUUAUAUGAUUUGUAUUAUGAGUUAUAUACCAUUAUUUUGACUGAGAUUGUUAAAAGUUUUAAAGAUGAUUAUUGAGCAUGAAGUUUAAAUCUGAUUAUUGAUGUAAGUAUUGAUGCAACAGAGUAUUAUACUUUGAUUCCUAAGUACCAUUGAUGAUUUUAUAAGGAGAUUAUGAUCUUAAGUCCUAUUUACAAGUUUUGAUUAAUGUUUUCAAAAGGAAAGAUUGAUAUUUUGAUCCAAGCUAAGAUAGAAGUCCACAUGAUUCAUAUAGAUUAUGAUUUAAAGCAAAGAAAAGCAUAAUUGGUUUUUAUUAUAAACCCUUAUGUUGUUUUAAGGUAGAUUUCCUAAAAGUUCUAAGCAAUAAGUAUGGGAGUAGUAUUUAACACCAAGUUAGGUAUGAUUCCAAGGUCUCAUGUCCCAGAAUUAUGAGCCACCGUAGGUUCUAAAUGCCCAUAAUAGAAUAAGAUAGUGACCACUAAAGUUAAGGUUCCAUUCCAAUGGAAAGGGUAGAACUACUCUCCCCAACGUGGGAAAGACGUGGAAUCCAUGUCAGCUCACAUGUUUUAUGUCAGUUAGAAAAAACUCCCUUAGUCCCAAAGUCCCAAGAUUUCCAAAGCUCCCAAAACUUUUAAGUUUAAAAGAAAGAAUGAUAGAAAAGCCUUUGUAAGACUAAGUGUUAUGGCUCACUAUAUUUACAAGUAUGAUUUGUUAUGCAUGAUUUUGUAUUUUGAUAUUUUAGAUAUUCAAGCUUAUAUGAGUCAUAUAGAUCCAUAUGCAUUUACUUUCUAAUUAUGAUGAUGUUUACUUAUUCAUUACACCCCCAUAUACUCAGUACAUCCUCAAAGUACUGAUCCACAUAUAUGCCUAUGUUCUAUAUUGUCUCAUAAUGUAGGUUCAGGUGCUCAGUCUCAGCAACGUGAGUGAUCUUCGAGUAUCUCUUCUACAUCCCUGCAGUUGGUGAGUCCACAUAGUUUGGGGACUUAGAUGUUCACACUUUCAGUUUAUUAGUAUAUGUUCCAUCAUUCAUUUCAGACUAUUGAGUCAACUGAGGCAUGUCCCAGUGGCUCUCUAGACUCAGAUAGUAAAGGCUUGUCAGAUUACCAGAUUUAAUAUUCAGAUUUCUAUUUUAGUAAAUAUAUUUUUCAUAUUUUCUUUAUCAUACUUUUGAGAUUAGUAUGAUUCAGAUAUACCCAGAUGAUUCAGAUAGCUUUUCGCAUAUAUUAUGAUUUUUUAUUUAUAUUUUCCCCUAUUUUGAGGUUCAAAUUUAGAAAAUGUAGCCAGGGUUAGCUUAGGACUACUUGCAGUUCGAAGCAUCAUGUGGCAUCUCGAGAACUAGAUUUUAGGGCGUUACAAACUUGGUAAUAGAGCCUAAGGUUUAGAGAGUCCUAGGGAGUCAUACAAGCCAUGUUACAUAGAGUCUUGAUCAUCUAUGUGAAGUGCGCCAUAUCUAUGAGCAAGAGGCUAUAGAGUAUUUUAGAAAAUUAUCUUUUCUUUCAUGAUCUAUCAUGUAUUUAUUGUCUCUAUCUUCUUCUAAAUCAUGCUUUCACAUAACAAAAAAUACCUCCCCAUUGAGCUAACGCCCGUAGAAAUGAUAACCAGCCAACUCAGCCUGCAGAUUCUUUGACUGAGAAUAUGUCAUAUGCAGAGUUUUGGGCUGCCUUUUAGGAGCUACCCCAAGAUAUGACAGCUAAUGUUCAUGGCAACCAUCAGGCUACAGUCCCACCUCAGUAGGAUAGGGAAUAGCUGUAGCUAAAAUCUGAGAUUUUAUGAGGAUAAAUCUGUCAGAAUUCUAUGGGUCAAAGGCAAGUGAGGACCCAUAGUUGUAUCUAGAUAAGGUGUAAAAGAUCACUCAAAUUAUGCAUUUUUCUGAAGAAGAGAGUGUAGAAUUGACAUCCUAUAGGAUGAAGGAUGUUGCAUAUGAUUGGGUGGUGAUAUGGAAGAAAAGUAAGGGAAGAAUGCAUCUCCCAUGACUUGGCAGAUAUUUUAGGAUGCGUUCUUAGACAAGUUUUUCCCGUGUGCGAUAAGGGAAGCUAAGAUAGAAGAGUUCAUGAACCUAAGGCAAGGCUCAAUGACUAUGAAAUAGUAUUGCCUCAAGUUUAACCAAUUGUCCAAGUACGCCCCCAAUCAGAUAGCUGACCCUUGGUCAAGCAUGAGUAAGUUUGUAACCGGUGUGUCUGGUCUAGUAGUUAAGGAGUGUAGGAUUACUAUGAUCAUUGAACACAUAGAUCUUCUUAUAUUGAUUAUGCAUGCUUAAUAAAUUAAGGCAUAAAAAGAAAACAAAAGAAAGAGAGAAAAUAAGAGGGCUAGAAUAGGGCGGCUUGAUUAUGGUCAGACUAGGUAUGGAGGAGGGAAUCAUUCGCAGUUCCAAAAUCAUUCAUCUAUGCCUGUACCUUCUUCAGCCAUUGCUCCUGCACCUACAAAUAGGCAAGAACAGUGGGGUAAGUCUUCCAUGUCCAGAUCUCAAAAUAGUGUGAGCAGUAAACCCAAUUAUCCUCCAUGUGCUAAGUGUGGUAGAACUCAUCCUGGUAAGUGCUUGACUGGGCAAAAGGGUUUUUUGGUUGUGGCAAGUUAGGUCAUGGAAUUAGAGAGUGGUCGUAUGCUAAGCAAGGAUAUAGAGAUGUUCGUCCUCAAACUUGAGCUAAUAGUGCACCAGCUCCUCCUCAUGGUGCAUCAUCUAGAACCAGUGGCGGUCAGUGCCAAAAUCAGUUUUAUGCUUUUCUAUCCCACCAGGAACAUAAAGAUUCCCUAGAUGUUGUGACUGGUAUACUUUGUGUCUUUCCUUUUGAUGUUUAUGUGUUGUUAGACCCUUGGUUGAGUUUCUCUUAUGUGACCCCGUUAGUUGCUUUAAAUUUUGAGAUAAGUUCUGAAAAGGUCCCUGAACCUUUCUUGGUAUCUACUCCAGUAGGUGAGUUAGUUAUUGCCAAAUAGAUUUAUAAAAAGUGUCCUAUCACUGUCCUUCAUAAAGUUAUGUUAGCAGACCUGAUAGAAUUAGACAUGGUUGAUUUUGACCUUAUUAUGGGUAUGGAUUGGCUUCAUUCCUAUUAUGCUUCUAUAGAUUUUCGCACCCGAGUGGUGACGUUGUAGUUUCCAGAUGGGCCAGUAUUUAAGUGGUUAGGUAAUUCAGUGUCUCACAAGAGUCAUUUUAUAUCUUACCUUAAGGCCAGGAAGUUGAUAUCCAAAGGUUUCAUUUACCAUCUAGUUUGAGUCAACACAAAGUCUGAGACUCUAACACUUCAUUUCGUUUAAGAGGUUAACGAGUUUCCUGAUGUUUUUCCAGAAGAUCUCUCAGGGGUACCUCCCGAUAGAGAGAUAGAAUUUAGUAUUGACCUUUUCCCAGAGACUCAACUUGUUUCUAUAACUCCUUAUCAUAUGGCUCUCACAGAGCUUAAGAAGUUGAAGGAGCAACUCAAAGAUCUUCUAGAUAAAGGCUUUAUAAGGCCUAGUAUUUUUUCAUAGGGCGGUCCCAUCUUAUUCAUGCAAAAGAAAGAUGGUUCUUUGCGCAUGUGCAUUGACUAUCAUCAGUUGAAUAAAGUUAUAGUCAAGAACAAAUAUCCUCUUCCUAGAAUUAAUGACCCGUUUGAUCAAUUGCAAGGUGUAAGUUAUUUCUCAAAGAUAGACCUUAGAUCCGUCUAUCAUCAGCUUAAAUUAAGGGAAUGUGACAUUCCAAAGAUAGCUUUAAGAACCCGUUAUGGUCAUUUUGAGUUUCUAGUCAUGUCUUUCAGGCUAACCAAUGCCCCAGUAGCUUUCAUAGACCUCAUGAAUAAAGUGUUCAAACAGCAUAUAGACAUGUUUGUAAUAGUAUUCAUAGACAAUAUCCUUGUGUACUCCCGUAGUAAGGAUGAUAAUGUAGAUCAUCUUAAAAUUGUCUUCAAACUCUUAGAGAUCAUCGAUUGUUCACCAAAUUCUACAAGUGCGAAUUUUGGCUAAGAUUAGUAGCCUUUCUCGUUCAUAUUGUCUUCGCCAAUGGCAUUAGAUUCUAUCCCCAAAAGACAAAAGCCGUAAGGAACUAGCCUAGACCUAUCUCUCCGUCAGACAUUAGGAGUUUCUUGGGUCUAGCUGGUUAUUACCACUGUUUUGUUAAAUAUUUCUCUUUUAUCACGUCUCCUAUGUCUAGAUUGAACCAAAAGAAAGUGAAGUUCCUAUGGUCAAAUUCCUAUGAAAAGAGUUUUCAGGAGUUGAAGACUCGACUCACAUUACCUGAUGGUACAGAUGGCUUUGUUAUUUAUUGCAAUGCCUCUAGGGUUGGUUUGGGCUAUGUGUUAAUGCAGAGAGGUAAGGUUAUAGCCUAUUCCUCUAGACAGUUGAAGCAUCAUGAAAAGAAUUACCCAACCUAUAAUCUGGAAUUAGCUGCUAUGGUAUUUGCUUUGAAGAUUUGGAGACAUUAUCUGUAUGGUGUACAUGUUGAUGUGUUCACAGACCACAAAAGCUUGCAGUAUGUGUUUUCUCAGAGGGAGUUGAAUCUCUAUCAGAGAAGGUGGAUAGAGUUGCUAAAAGACUACGAUAUGAGUGUGUUGUAUCAUCCAGCCAAGGCCAAUGUAGUGGCAGACACCCUUAGUAAGUUGUCUAUGGGUAAUCUUGCUCAUGUAGAGAAAGAUAGGAAAGAAUUAGCUCAAGAAGUUCAUCAUUUGGCUAGAUUAGGUGUUACGUUGGUUAAUUCAGCUGAAGGGAAUGUUUGGGUUCAGAGUAGUUAUGAAUCUUCCCUAGUUUCGGAAGUGAAGGAGAAACAAGAUAUGGAUUUCAGUUUGGUCAAACUGAAAGAGUUAGUUAAAGACCAAAGGGUAGAGGUUAAAGACCAAAGGGUAGAGGUUUUCUCCUAAGGGGGAGAUGGUGUGUUAAGAUAUCAAAGUAGAUUGUGUGUGCCAUAUGUUGAUGAUUUGAGGCAGAGAAUUAUGGCCUAAGCGCAUGGUGCACAUUAUUCUAUUCAUCCAGGUGCUACCAAGAUGUACUACCACUUGCGGGAAAUCUAUUGGUGGAGUGGUAUGAAGAGAGAUAUAGUAGAGUUCAUAGCAAAGUGUGCAACUUGUCAACAGGUUAAGGUAGAGUACCAAACACCUGGUGGUACGUUGCAAAAGUUUGGUAACCCCACUUGGAAGUGGGAAGAGGAAUAUGGAUUUUAUGACUGAUUUACCCCGAUCGCAUCAUCACCAUGAUUUGAUAUAGGUUAUUGUAGAUAGAUUAACUAAGUCAGCGCAUUUCUUGCCAGUUCACACGUCUUAUAUAACUGAGGAUUAUGCUAAGUUGUAUAUCCGAGAGUUAGUCAGAUUUUAUGGAGUUACCUUGUCUAUCAUUUCAGAUAGGGGUACUCAAUUCACUUUCCAGUAUGGGAAAGCCUUUCAGAAGGGUCUAGGUACCCAAGUCCAUCUUAGUUCAGCUUUUCACACUCAAAAGGAUGGUCAACCAGAAAGGACCAUCCAAACUCUAGAAGAUAUGUUAAGGGCGUGUGCUCUUGAUUUCAAAGGUAGUUGGUAUGAGCAUUUUCCAUUGAUUGAGUUCGCUUAUAAUAACAGCUAUUAUUCUAGCAUUUGAAUGGCUCCGUUUGAGGCUAUUUAUGGGAGGAGAUGUAGAUCACCCUUAGGUUGGUUUAAAGUGGGUGAGGCCGCUUUACUUGGGACUAACACAGUGUUUGAAGCUCGGAAAAAAGUUAAGUUGAUUAGAGAAAGAUUGAAAAUAGACCAGAGUCAUCAGAAAUCCUAUGCAGAUAUGAGAAGAAGGGACCUAAAGUUGGAGGUUGGUGAUCUAGUAUAUUUGAAGAUUGCACCCAUGAAAGGGGUGAAGAGAUUUGGCAAGAAGGGGAAGCUUAGUCCCCGGUAUGUUGGCCCUUAUAGAAUUUUGAGUCGUGUUGGGAAAUAGCUUAUGAGCUUGAGUUUCCCGUAGACUUGUCAGCCGUUCAUCCUGUAUUUUAUGUCUCCAUUCUUAAGAAGAGCAUCGGUGACUCCACCAUUGUAGUUCCUUUAGAAAGCUGAGAUAUUCAAAUUAGUCUUUCUUACGAAGAGAUUCCAGUUGAGAUUUUAGAUCAUCAGAUCCAUAGACUAAGGAACAAAGAAGUUCCCUUGGUUAAAGUUCUUUGGCAGAAUUAGUUUGUUAAGAGUGCUACUUGGGAAUCAAAAGCAGAUAUGCGAGACAAGUACCCUCACCUCUUCUUUGAAAACUUAGAUCAAGCCAAAGGUGCUACUCUUCCUUGAUCCAGUUUUUUCUAAUCAUACGUUCAUCUAUACAGUUGUCCUCAUGUAAGUUCAUGCACUCACAGAAUUACUCAGAAGGUUAGAAUGAUUUAGAUUCAGUUGCUCAGUUCACUUUAGUUGUAUAUGCUAUCUUAUGCUCUCAUAUUCCCUAGAAAUUUCAGCUUAACUAGCCAUACUCGAGGAUGAAUGUUCCCAAGGGGGAGAUAUUGUACUAACCUGUGAUUUUUCCUAGCUUAAACUUAUCCUAAAAAUGAUAAAGAGCAUCUUCUAGAAUGAGUGAUGUUUAUUUCGUAUGGAAUUCCUUAGAUUUGUACAUUUUAUGAUGUAGGAAAUUGAAUUAGCUUUCCAACGAUAUAAGAUUCACCUAAAUCCGAUAAUCGGGUAAGAAGUUAUGGCUAUUUAAAGUUUCAGUCAUAAAACACCAUUAUCUAGACUCUUAGCACACCGCAGAGUAGUGACAAAUCCCAAUUGUCAUUUUCCAGUGGCUCUCCGCAAUACUGGCGCAUCACGGAGGGGACUAAUUUCCCAGUUGUCAAUUUCCAGAGGUCCAGCGCAAUAAGGCGCAUCACGCCAUGUGCCAAAAUGACAUUCCAAAGGGGCACCGUGAUGACACCACAUCGCGAAGUCUGCCCAGUUUCCAGUUGACAUUUUCCAGUGAGCCACAGUGCCGCGUUGCGAUGGCCACCCAGAUUGGGAAAAUAUAUAUUUUUCAGUUUCGUUUAAAAGUUUACAAGGGGCAUUUUGGUAAAUUACCCAACCCCCAAUCCAUCCAGAAAUAGAAGAUUUAUCAUAUUUGAGAGCACUUUAUGUUCCAUUCAUCAUUCUCUCUUAAACAAAAUCCUAAGGCUCAUACUUUCUCUCCAAGAAACUCAAGAAUUCCUCCAUUAACUCACCAAGAUAAGUUAAGAUUGAGGAUUCCCAAUACAAAAACACUAAGAAUUCAUCUCCAAAGCAUCCAUAAGAAUCCAAGAUUCAAGCCUUUCAUCAAAGAUCAUCAAUUCAGGUAUGUGGGGUUUUGAACAAGGAUAAAUCUUUCAUCCUUGUGCCCAAAAACUUACUUAAAAUUAUAAAUUUCUGAGUUUUGUAUGAUUUUCCAUGAAAUUUAAGUUAGGGUUGAUACCAAAUCCUCAUUAUUUUAGUUUAUGAAAUUAUUAUGAUAUUUAAGGCUCCAAUUGCAAGAAAAUUACAUAUGUUCAUGUUUGAAAUUAUAUGAUUCAUAUUAUGAGUUAUAUACCAUUAUCUUGACUAAGAUUGUUAAAAGUUUUAAAGAUGAUUAUUGAACAUGAAGUUUAAAUCUAAUUAUUGAUGUAAUUAUUAAUGCAGUAUAGCUUUAUACUUUGAGUCCUAAGUACCAUUGAUGAUUUUAUAAGGAGAUUAUGAUCUCAAGUCCUAUUUACAAGUUUUGAUUAAUGUUUUCAAAAGGAAAGAUUGAUAUUUUGAUCCAAGCUAAGAUAGAAGUCCACAUGAUUCAUAUAGAUUAUGAUUUAAAGCAAAGAAAAGCAUAAUUGGUUUUCAUUAUAAACCCUUAUGUUGUUUUAAGGUAGAUUUCCUAAAAGUUCUAAGCAAUAAGUAUGGGAGUAGUAUUUAACACCAAGUUAGGUAUGAUUCCAAGGUCUCAUGCCCCAGAAUUAUGAGCCACCGUAGGUUCUAAAUGCCCAUAAUAGAAUAAGAUAGUGAUCACUAAAGUUAAGGUUCCAUUCCAAUGGAAAGGGUAGAACUACUCUCCCCAACGUGGGAAAGACGUGGAAUCCAUGUCAGCUCACAUGUUUUAUGUCAGUUAGAAAAAACUCCCUGAGUCCCAAAGUCCCUAUGUCCCAAAGUCCCAAGAUUUCCAAAGCUCCUAAAACUUCUAAGUUUCAAAAGAAAAGAAUCAUAGAAAAGCUUUUGUAAGACUAAGUGUUAUAGCUCACUAGAUUUACAAGUAUGAUUUGUUAUACAUGAUUUUGUGUUUCGAUAUUUUAGAUAUUCAAGCUUAUAUGAGUCAUAUACAUCCAUAUGCAUUUACUUUCUAAUUAUGAUGAUGUUUACUUAUACAUUACACCCCCAUAUACUUAGUACAUCCUCAAAGUACUUAUCCACAUAUAUGUCUAUGUGCUACAUUAUCUCAUAAUGUAGGUUCAAGUGCUCAGUCUCAGCAAUGUGAGUGAUCUUUGAGCAUCUCUUCUACAUCCUUGCAGUUGGUAAGUCCUCAUAGUUCGAGGACUUAGAUGUUCAUACUUCCAGUUGAUUAACAUAUGUUCCAUCAUUCAUUUCAGAUAGUUGAGUCAGCUGGGGCAUAUCCCAGUGGCUCUCUAGACUUAGAUAAUAUAGGCUUGUCAAACUACUAGAUUUAGUAUUCAGAUUUCUAUUUUAGUAAAUAGAGUUUCAGCAUUUGCUUUAUCAUACUUUUGAGAUUAGUAUGAUUCAGAUAUACCCAGAUGAUUCAGACAACUUUUCGCAUAUAUUAUGAUUUUUCAUUUAUAUUUUCUCCUAUUUUGAGGUUUAAAUUUAUAAAAGGCAGCCAGGGUUAGCUCAGGACUACUUGUAGUUCGGAGCACCGUGUGGCAUCUCGGGAACUAGAUUUUGGGGCGUUACAGUGACAUAGGUUGCGGCCUAUUAUGCCAAGUUCCAUGCCUUACCCCACUAUGCUACACAGUUGUUGACUUUUGAGAAGGAGGAGAUUUACCUCUACAUCAAGGUUUUGAAUUAUGACCUUUAGGUAUUAUUUGUGUAUUUGACUUCAACAUAGAAAGGGUUCAAUAGAAUUUUUGACUAUGUAAAGAAGUUUGGGGGGAGAACGGUUUCCCAAGCAAUUCAGGAUAAGAUGUUAGCCAAGAAAUCUUACAAUGUUAGGAAUUUCAGAAGGUCUUACUCUAAAAUCCACAGUUAUCUGUAUUAUUCAGUCGGCCUUGUGAGCUUCCACUGUGGUCCAGUAAAAGGCUUUACUUAGGAAAAGUUGUUAGGAGCCGAGGGGAUUCUUACUCUUCAAUCAGUAUGCCCUCUCUCGAGUGAGUAUGUUAAUAUUAUGGUGCAGUUAGUCACUUUAGGAGGGAGUGGCUUAUGAGGUAGGAGAGGGCCCAAAUACAGCAAACUCAAGCAAUAUUUCCAGUAGGUAGAGGAGGAGGAGGUAAUAGUAAGGGAGGUCGAUAGGGUGGAUGGGAAAAUUAGUUAGUGGAUGAGGAGGUUGAAAAGGUGGUGAUAAGUGGAGGAUCAUGACCGAGAAAGAAGUUAUCUUAGAUUAAAGACCAGGCUCAUUAUUAUGCAUGUUUGAGAAAGACUAAUGCUGAGGCUUCUGAUGCAGUGAUCACAGGUACUAUUUUUUUGUGACCAAUGGAUUCAAUUUUAUUUGAUCCGAGGUCUACUUAUUCUUACGUAUCUAUCCAAUUUGCGGUGGGUCUAAAUCUGGUUUGUAAUGUACUUGAUUAUCCUAUUUAUCUGUCUACAUUUGUGGGUGAGUCUUUGAUAGCAACGCAUGUUUAACAUUCUUUCCCUGUAUUAUUUCUGGAUUUUCAGACUUGGGUGGACUUGGUUAUUUUAGAUAUGUUGUACUUUGAUGUAAUUCUGUGUAUGACUUGGUUAUCUCUAUAUCAUGUUGUUUUAAACUAUAAUGCUAAAAUAAUGACUCUGGUUAUGCUUAGAAUAAAGGAACUAGAGUGGGAGGGAGUGUAUAAGGCCACACCCGUAAAGGUUAUACGUAUGUUCGUGAUAGAAGACUAGUAAGGAAGGUAUGUUCAUUAUUUUUAUCUCAUAUUCGAGAUGAAGAUGCAGAAUCCUCUUCUGUAGAGAUGAUUUUGGUAGUAUUUUAAUUUCACAGUGUGUUUCCUUCAAACCUACCAGGUAUGCCUCCACAUAGGGAUAUCAAUUUUUGCAUUGAAUUAGACUUGCGCACUCACCCUAUUUCUAUUCCACAUUAUCGAAUGACUCUAAUGGAGUUGAGGGAGCUCAAAACUUAACUGCAGAAGCUACUUGACAAAGGUUUUAUUCAUCUAAGUGUUUCACCUUAGGUGCUCCAGUCCUAUAUGUUACGAAUAAAAAUGGUAUUAUGAGGAUGUGUAUUGAUUAUAGACAGCUGAAUAAGGUUACAUCCAAAAUAAAUAUCCUUUACCUCACAUAGAUGACUGAUUUGAUAAGUUACAUGGGGCAUUAGUGGUUUCAAAAAGUUUCUUUGAGGUCAGGUUAUCAUCAGUAAAAAAUUAGAUAGAGGACAUACCAAAGACAAUUUUUAGGAUUCGCAGUGGCCACUAUGUGUUCCUAGUGAUGUCUUUUCGAUUGACUAAUUCAUAUGCAAUUUUUAUGAGUUUGAUGAAUAGGAUCUUUAAGUAGUUCUUGGAUUCAUUUGUUAUUGUGUUGAUUGAUGAUAUUCUUGUGUAUUCCAACAGUAAAUAAGGGUAUGCAACUCAUCUUUACAUAGUUUUAGAGAUUCUAUAGGAGAAUUGAUUAUUUGCUAAGUUUUCAAAGUGUGAAUUCUGGUUGUAUUUAUUUACCUUCUUGGGGAUCGUGGUUUCUAAGAAAGUAGUGAUGGUGGAUCCCUAGAAGAUUAAGGCAGUAAAAAAUUAGAAUCGAUCUUCUUCAGUGACCGAGUUAAGAUGUUUUAUAGGGCUAGCUAUCUACUACCAUAGGUUUGUCAAGAAAUUCACAUCUACUGCAACAUACUUAACAAGGUUAACUUAAAAAGAAGUUCCAUUUGUUUAGUUAUAUAAAUAUGAAGAGAGCUUCCAAAAGCUCAAGACUCUCUUGACUUCAACACUUAUUCUUUCGCUGCUUGUUGAAGGUAAAGCCUUUAUUAUGUUUUGUUAUGCCUCACUCUAAGGUUUGGGUGUUGUGUUGAUGGAGGAUAAGAAUGUCAUUGCCUACUCUUCAAGACUGUUGAAGUCUCAUGAAAGGAACUAACUAAUGCAUGGCUUUGAUUUGGCAAUGAUGGUAUUUUAUAUUAAAUAUUUGGAGACAGUAUCAUUACAGUGCCAAAUACGAGGUCUUCAUGGACUACAUAGCUUGUAGCAAGUGUUUACUCAAAAGGAUUUGAACCUAAGGCAAUGGACGUGGAUGGAAUUGUUGAAGGAUCAUGAUGUGAGUAUUUAGUAUCGUCCAGGUAAGGCCAAUGUGGUGGAAAACACAUUGAGCCAAAAAUCUAUGGGUAUGGGUAGUUUAUUAUUUUUUAAGGUAUCAAAGUGACCAUUAGCUAGAGAGUUUCAAAAUCUAGCAUCUCUGAGCAUGUAGUUCGAGGUCUUAAAUAUGGGUGGUAUGUUUGCUACUUUAGAGGUAAAAUCAGCAUUCAUGGUGUAGAUUAAGACCAAGAAAUUUGAGCAUAAUAAGUUGAAUCCACUCUGGAAUAAAGUGGUGCACCGGGAGGUGGCAGACGACACUCUUAAUGCGUGAAGGGUGUUGUUGUUUAAGGGAAGAUCUUGAGUUCCCCGAGUUAUUGGCUGCUCAAAGUAGGCAAGAUGAGUAUUCCGACCUUAAGGUGACGGACAUAUUCACAAGGUUGGUGAGCAAGUUUUGCUCAAGGUGUGUCCUAUGUAGGGAGUUAUGGGGUUCGGAAAGAGGGAAAAGCUCAGCCCUCAAUAGAUAGGUCUCUUCGAGGUUCUUCAAAAAUGGGUCCAUCUAAUAUCGAUUAGCUCUACCACCAGGGUUGUUGAAAGUCCAUUUGGAAUUCUAUUUCUCAAUGCUGAAAAGGUACUAUAGGGAUGGUGACUACAUCAUUAAGUGUGAUUCGGUUGUUAUAAAUAAGUAUUUGGCUUACAAGAAGAAACCAGUAGCGACUCUAGAUCAGAAUGCUAAAAAAUUAAGGAUGAAGGAAAUUUGUUUGGUGAAGGUAUAAUGGAAGCAUCAUCCGGUUGAGAAAACCACUUAGGAGAUCGAGAAGGACAUACAAGAUAAGUACCCUCAAUUAUCAAAGGAUACAAGUACUCUCCUUCUUCUAUAUUUAUCUUAUAUUUCUUAUUUGAUCGAUCAAGAAUGAACAAUGGGUAAAUUGGUAUCUAUUUUUUAUCCUUUUUAAUGUUACAUAUAAGUCCUAUGUUUAAAAUAAUAUAUGCAAAUUUCUUCCAAUUUAGAAGUUACAAAUUUUAGGGUAGGCUAGUUUUAAGCAAUUUUGGAGUGAGGUGUGACCUAGGGAAAUCUGGUAAUGCUUUGGAUGUGGAUAGCAGUAUUUACCUUGAAUUUUAGUUAUCUAAGACAAUAAGCAACCCAUAGAAAUUUUUGGAAUCAAAUUUGGGUGAGAAAACCUUCAAAAAUUAAUCUUAGCAUAAAGGGCAAUGUUUGAAAUAUUUUAGGUUAAGGUGUGUUGUAAAAAAGGGGAUUUUUGGUUGAAGACAGACAUUUUGUCCUAUCGAUACAGCUAUAGUGGUUGGUAUACUGCUAUAGUGAUAGAAGCUAUAGUGGAAUAAUUUCGGCUAUUGAUGUUGCCAAAAACUACACCUCCACUAGAAGUAUAAUACGGUUGAUUGCAAAUAUAGUAACCUACCAAGGCUGGGGUCAAUCUCACAAGGAAGACGUGAACACUUGCUAGACUUAAGGUAAUCCACGAGCAGUACAGGAAAGUAAAUUGGGGGAUUUUGUUAUCAGUAGCAAAUGGUAACCAACUUUUGAGUGUUGUUUAGUUGAAAUCAAUAUAAGAUGAAUGCUAGGAAUGUGUUCCCCCUAGCUUCUCAACUACAUAAAUUUCUUAUGUUAAACCCAAUUAUUCUACUGUUCUGCAUGCAAAGCCUACAAGUUAGGUAUUAUCCAGAAGGAAAUUUUCACCCUUUGACUUGGCUAUCGUGUCAGAGUGUCGCCUUGUUGCCCCUUGAUACGGCUUCAGUCAUACUUGGCUAUAUACACUUGUCUUAAUCCUCGCUAUCCAAUUUCAAGCUUCUUGGUUAUUGAAUGGAUGUGAAUAUACUCUAUCUCAAGUGUCUGUGGCUACUCGAUGCUAAUUAACACAAAGGAGAAUUGAGAUACAUACAAAAACCCUAGAACAAUUGAAUCUCACACUUCCUACACAUAGCUAAUCAGUCAGGGUUCCCACAACCCUAGUUGAGGAUAUUAGCCACUCAUUUUUGUGAAAUAAACCAUGAUUAUUAAUGAAGGAUACAUAAAAUCAAUUUUCAAAAGAAGAAGAUGAAUAAACUCCAAAGUCUUUAAUUGAAUAAAAUCUUAAAAUCUCAAGAAAUAAUGUAGUAAUAAAUAAUUGCAUAUAAAAUAAUGUCACAAUGCUUAACCUAAUAAAAUAUAAACCCUAGGGUAUUUAUAGUAUCUCAAAAUAACACAAAAAUCCUAUCAAAAAUGGGAAAGGCAAAGUUAAGUCGGCAGUCAGUAUGACUCGGUCGUUACUCGUAUCCUUAGCUUAUGAGUAAUACCCUGCCUUGUCCUAACUAGUCCAGUGUCUAAUAUUCCUAUGGAUUCAACUCUCUGUUCAUCUUACAACUUCAUCUUAUGAGUCAUAAUAACGUAUAUGACUCGUGUCUUUGAUCCGUAAAUACCUGGGACUUUAGUCUUUUCAGGUCUUGAACACUGGUUGGGAUACGACAUCCCUAUACGAGUCAUACUCAAACUUUUGACUCAUAUCCUUCUUAUACUUCAAUUUCUGGAUGGUAUCUUGGAUUCUGUUAUGUCACGGCUUCUGUAUAUGACUCGUACCCUCGCUAACGACUGGGAUACUUGAGUCGUAUCUUCUUCAUACUUGGUUUCUUGAUUUGGAUUUUGGUAUCUGCUCCUCAUACGAUUCAUCAUACAAGUCGUAACGACUGGUUACGUCUCAAGAGCAGACUAGUAUACUGCUCAGAGUUGGUUUUUUAGGUUUUUUUCUCCUCUUUUCAUCCAAAUAAUGUUAUAAACCUGUUUUACGUGUAAUUCACACCAAAGUGCAUCAUAUCUAACAAAAACCUUAAGUUCAUGCAUAAACUCAUGGUUUUAAGCAUCGAAAGUGUUGUGUUUCCAUGCCACAUCAACACCCAUAACUUAGACUUUUGCAUGUCCUCAGGCAAACAAAACCACAUACUAUUUUCUACCCCUGAGUUUAUGCUUAAAAUAGGAAGAUCUUAAACAACCCAUGGAAGUGAUUCUGAAUUAAAUUUAAAUUUCAUUGUUCCCCUCUUAAUUUUAAUUUUUUCAACUCAAACUUGCGUAUAACAAUUCAAUACAUGAAAAAAACAAGAAGGGAACCGAUGAUGGCAUUAGCAAUAUAUACUCAGUCAUAGACCUAUUUUACAUCUGUCAAACAAUCUAGCAACUUAGCAACAUAACCCACAUGCACUCAAAGUUAAAGAAAUCUCAUUCUCUCCUCAUAUAUAUCAACUUAUUCUGAGAUAUAAUAGUUAACGCUCACUCUCAUAUCAAUGGUGUGCAUAGAAUAUCAUAGGCUUGCCCUUAUGGUCUUUUCCUAAGCUUUCAAAUAGUUGUGAUAGGAUCACUAUAGGACUUUAUUUAGCUUGUAACGUAGGCUAGGGGCUGGUAGGAUAUCUUAUGGGGAUUCUGCUAGUGACUAAGCCUACUGGACACUACGAUUUUCAUGGGGCACAGAAAUUUUUCCACUUAUUCAUUUAUUUCCUCCUUUAUAUCUCUUUUUUCUUUUAAGCAUAUUCCAAUUAGGUCAGGCACUGUUUCGGUGCGGGCCGCGAGAGCGGUACCAAAUCGAGGCAAACUCUGAAUACUAGGUAUGGCCUUAAAAUUAAAAAAGAGGGGUAAAAGGCUUUGCUUUUCUAGUGCUUAUUUUUCUCAUUCUUUUUUUCUCUACUUCGCACUUUUAUUAGCUUGCUCUUUAUCAAACCUACCCAUGAUUCAACCAUUUUUCUUAUAUCCCCUAUCUUCAUACAUGUUUUUCUCUCACGCACCCCUAUAAUAGCCACCCUCAACUUAGGCUAUUUUCCUGAGUUUAGGUUCUCAUUAUCUACAGGAGGACUAGGGUCAAAAACUGGUUUAUUUAGCUAAUGGGAAGGUGAUAAGUGUAACAAGAAAAUUUGGUUCCAUUAAAGCUCAAAUAUUUGGAUCAAAGGGAUUUGUUCAUUUGGUUCAGGCAUUUUAGGCUCAAGUGGACUCAUACAAAAAAGGCCUAUGAUCACAUCCUACCUAACCAUCCUAAACCUCGGUAAAAGUAAUCGGGAAAGUUCUAGAGUCCAACACAACUAGGAAUUCAGUAAUCCUUACACACACUUGCACAGGGAUGCAUUACUAAGUGCUAGUUAUCCAACUCUUCACUUGUUUUGUUCUUACCUAUACUAUCCCUAAUCCUAAUGCUAUUAUCAGAUACUCAACAUUCUCAACCAUAUAUACAACUCACGUAAUUUCUAAAAGAAAUAUUUGAGGGGCUUAACAUUUUCAACUCUUUAGCACAGUUAACAAUACUUUUCACAAGAUCAGUUUAAAAAUCCACAACAAUCAGCAGCAUUUCAUCAAUCAAAAAAGAAAUCAAAAUCAAAAUCAAAAUCUUUAAGAACAACCCAAAUUUUUAGAAUUCAUAAUAAUCAUAGUUAAAAUCAAAAAACAUCUGCUGUCAUCAGUGUGCUAAUAUAAUCCAUAUCUCAGUUGUCUGCAUCAAACUUACAAGUCAUAACAGACUUUUAGUUUUAGCUACAUCUAACAACUUUCAAACUGCUCCCAAAUUUUUGGUACACCACCCCCAACUUAAGAACAUUGCACUGCCCUUAGUGCAAAAAAUAAUUAACGAAGUAGGGAUAAAAAUCAUACCUAGGCGCUUAAAGCACUGGAGCAUCAAUAUCAGCAUGUGGGCCCUUAGGUCGGGUCUCACUCUCCUCAGCAACUAUCCCAACUGGGAUUAGAUCAUCAACAGGCGGGGGCACAACAUCAACCUCCUUAGCAUCCGAAACCGGAGCAGUCAAACUACCCGCUCCUAUAGACAUCUCCUGGACCCGUGUCUAAAUGUCCUGCUCAUCCUGAUUCUACCUAAUUUGGCAUUUUUCUUCACAACUUUGGCCUCAUUUCUCUUUCUUUUUUUUCUAUUUUCUCUUCCUCGAUCUGCUCACCCUACUCAUCUAUCUGUACCACCUAAAUAUUCGGCACCUUGACUGUGGGAAUCACAGUCUCUAUAAUAGGAUCGGUAACCAUCAUCCUCAUAGACAUCUCAACAACCAUUACUUUUAUUUCAGUAAUCUAAGGUCGGAGCCUACUACCUAGAUAUCGAGUGUCCACAACUCAAAUGCAUUGAGGUGCUCUUGUACACACCUAUCUUGUACCUCCAGUUUUCGUUUCCUCCAUAUUUAUACUCCACCUUCUAUGUUGUUGCUUUUGUAGUAAGUGUAGCCAACUGUGUCACUACCUCUAUCCAUGUAGCCAGAGAAAUCAUCAUCACACUAGGAGGUAUCCUUCAUGGCCUAGAUGGCAUAGACUAGACUGGCGGUGGGGCACUCAAAGUACCUACUGCAUUUAUGGGUGCAGUCUCAGCCUGUGUAGCUGUCUCAACAUUAAAAGCAGCAUCAGUCUGAUCCUCAUAUGGGAAGGCUCCCACCAUAGCAUCUGUUUCCUGUCUUAUAGUCUUGGCUAAUGGGUUAGCUACAUUACGAAUUAAGCCAAUAUAUCUCUUACCACAUCAACACUCAGAAUCUUUAAUACACCCACAGCUAAAUAUAUCUGGCAAUCGUGCAGGGGUGUGCUAGAAAUGACUCCUACUCUACAAUAGUGCUAUCUCUUAAUUCUCGGGCUAAAAACUCACCAACAUUAAAAUCAUAUCCGAGUAUAAACCUUGCUAUCAUUUUAUCCCGGAAUGGGCUUAGAACAUCAUCCCCUAUAGUUGGACAUAGCCUGUGAUGGGCUAUAAUCCACCAAGCCUCACCCUCAAAGUUGAGGGUACCCUUCUUUAUCUGUUGUGACUCCGCAAUACCAUCUACAAUCGAAGUAAACUGCGGGACAUAUGUAGCUAUCCUCUCAGCUAUCCACUGGAUCAUCACCAUCUUGUCCUCAGUACCUAAAGUUUGGUUGGUGAUCUUCCAUAUUUCAGCCAUUUUGUACUCCAUUUCUAUUAUGUUAGCCAGGGCCAUAUAUAUUAGUCCAUACAUAAAUCUUCUAAAUAUUCGAGGUGAUAUAUCCACCCAAACUCCAUGAAUCAUUAGGAAAGUAACAGGGUCGCCUCCUUUCACAGCAUGCCUUGUGGAUAUUGCCGCAUCAACUCACCCUUAUAGGUGACAUAGAACUCAUGGACUAACAUCUCAUUAUACCAUCCCGAUGUUCUCAUCAUCCAGUCAAAACUAUAUUGUCUAAAGUGUUUUGAAAAUUUGGGCAAUUUAUCCAUACCCAUAAUAGUCAUCCAUCUGUCCUCAUACAAAACUAUUUUGAUCUUUCCUCCCGGUAGCUGAGACAACCCUGUGUCAAACGUCGCCUGCAUACCGGGGUAACCCUAUCAUUCUAUAAUGGGCACCAAAGUAGGGGCUAGUGCAAGUGGGGGGUCAUGUCUUUCUAUUGGGGUAACCUCUACCUCGAGACCCCACCCUCGUUUGAACUUUCUUCAGCUGAACUGGAUUCAGCUUUAUCAUUAACAUCCUCAUCUUUAUCAUCCUCGGGUUGUGGUAUGUACGGUAGAAAGAUAGUUGUGUUCUUUCAUUGUGGACCCUUAGGUGGUAGGGUUUUAGAUUCUUAGGGAACUGUUUUCUUACCUUUAGCUUUAGCUGCUACUUUUCCUUUUUAUGCAUCAUUCUUAGAUGCAGUCCCAGUAUAUUCUUCCCCAUGACUUUUAGUCUAGUUUACUGAUACGCUGGUCUCUUUACUUUCCACUGGCUUUUGCUUAUUUCCUUUCUUUGCCAUAGUUUUGGAUGAAGACACAUUCUUUGGAGGCAUUUUUCCUGCAAAUAUACUAAAGUUCAUAACUAAGAAAAGAAAAAAAAACAAAAUUCAAAAUGAUAGUUCAAUGUGCCUUGUUCCAGUUGGGUACGAGUGGUGAAAAUUGGUCGUACCCAUUGGGUACGACUCGUAUACCUGAGUCGUAACGUAGAAAAUUCAUGAUCAUUAUUUACUAUCUAGCUUAUGACUCCUCCUCACCAGUCGUAUCGAUUGGUUAUGACUCGUGACCAACAGUCAUAAACUGGUCAGAAACUUUUAUUCAAGUUAUUUUCUUCCCAGGUGGGUACGAUAUAUAUGUACGAGAUGUAAGGUCUAGAUACAAUUCGUAAGGUUGAGACAUAUCCAUUCUAGAACUUUGAAUUUAUUAGAUUUCCAUGUUGAUAGUGGGUAUGAGUCUCAUUACAACUCUCAUACCCGUGGGUAUGAGUCAUAAGGAAUCUCGUAUCCACUGCAACAUAGAAGUCCAACUUUCAAAGUUUGACUCCGAUGAAAUUCCCAAUUUACCCACUACUUUAUUCAGCUAUAUCCAGCAUUUUCAACACAUAAACACACAAAAACCUAUUUCUAAACCCUUCUUCAUCCCCAUUUUCAAGUUUCAACACAAAUAUCUAAAUUAUGUCAUCAAUCUACCAAACAUAUGCAUAAAUUGUACUUAACCCAUGAAUACCAUAGCAUAUAUUACUCAAUUGACUUUGUAAUGCCAUAAAAAUAAUUUGAAAACUUACUUGGUCAGUGUAGAAUGGAGGAUUUCAACUUUCAAUCGUAGUGGCCUCAAAUUCGAGUUAAAAAUUGCACCAAGUGAUUGAUUCAAAGUUGUUGGUACGUAGAUUUAGUUGGGAACAACUUGAUUUUGCAGAUUGAAGUUCAAAAUUUUUGGAGGAAAAUUGCAGGGAUGAGCUAAGGUUCUUAGGUGGCCUAUCGGGUCAAAUUUUGCUAUUUAAAUCAUAGGUCUGGGCUGGGUCAAACUUAAGAUCUGACCUAGUAAAUUGGGGUGUGAUUGGUUUAUACGGCUCGUACCUAAUUUUAUAGGUUAUUUCUUUGACUCGUAUUGACUGAAAGAUUACCUGAGUUCUGGAGGGAUAUGAUUCUUGUUCACGACCCUUAACCAGAGGCUACGAGUCAUAUCAAGAGUUUUAUUCAUUCCCAAACUUAAUUUCUAAUUUUUACUAAUCUGCCAGGUCAUUACGAUUCUUACUCACGAGUCGUACCGUAUAGAUACAACUCAUAAAGAGUCCGUAUGAUACCCUUUUAUCAUUUCUAGAUUUUAGUUGCAUUCUUUUAGUCCUGUAUAUUAAACAAAUAGAUUACCCUAUAAAUUAAAUAAUUACAAAACCAUGGGUUGCCUCCCACACAGCGCUUGAUUUAACAUCGUGGCACGACGUGGUUAGGUUGGUUACUCAAAUUUCACCAACUAGCCUCAUGACUUGCCUCCUAUGCAACACUUGAUUUAAUGUCGUGGCACGAUGUAAUUGCCUUUAUUACUCAGACUUCAUCAAGGUCACUAUCUACUAGCUCCUUCACUUUUUUGCAUUUCCCAUAUAGUUCUUUACUCUGUGUCCAUUUACCUUGAAUGGAUUUGUACCAUCCUUCAUUAUUUCUAACACCCCAUAGGAAUACACUCUUGUCACAGUGAAUGGACUAUGCCACCUAGACUUUAGCUUUUCAGGAAACAAAUAAAGUCUAUAAUUAUACAGUAGCACUUGGUCACCUUUUUCAAUACCUUUUUCUCAAUCUUCCUGUCAUGAUACAACUUCUUGUCUUCCUUGUAAAGUGUUCGACUUUCGUAUGUCUGAAGCCGGAAUUUGUGUAACUCAUUUAUGCCAUUAAACCUAGAUUUAGCUACAUCUUUCAACUCUAAAUUCAGCGCCUUCAAUGCCCAUAGUGCCUUAUGCUCAAGCUCAAUUGGUAAAUGGAAAGAUUUUUCAUACACAAUUUGAUAAGGUGAAGCACCUAUGGGGGUUUUAUAAGCUGUAAAAUAAGCCCAUAAUGCAUCAUCUAACCUUAUUGCCCAAUCAGUCCAAUUGGCAUUCACGGUCUUCGCCAGUAUUGACUUGAUUUCUCUAUUGGAUACUUCAACUUGUGUACUAGUCUAUGGAUGAUAAGUUGUUACCACCUUGUAAUUCACUCCAUAUAUUUCCAGCAGACUCUUGAAUAGAUGAUUACAAAAAUUUGACACUCCAUCACUAAUAAUAGCACGUGGCAUACCAAAUCGAGGAAAGAUAUUAUUUCUCAAAAAUACUAUGACACUCUUUGCUUCAUUGUUAGGAAGUGCAGUUGCUACCACCCACUUCGACACAUAGUCAACAACUACAAUUAUGUACUUCAUGCCAUACGAACUUACAAAAGGCCCCAUGAAAUCUAUGCCAUAUACAUCAAACACUUCUAAUUCUAUGAUAGGGCUCAUAGGGAGUUCAUGUCUUCUAGUAAUAGUACCUUGUCGUUAGCAUUAAUUGUAAGCAGCCGCAUAGUCACAUGCAUUUUUGUAUAUGGUCAGCCAAUAGGAUCUGCAUUGUAGGAUUUUAUAAGAGGUUCGAGUCGCUCCAUAAUAACCCCUAACUGGCAAUGAAUGACACGCCUCAAGUAUACUCCUUAUCUCUACCUCAGGUAUGCAUCUAUGAAUGAUUCCAUCUGCAUAAAUUUUAAAUAGAUAAGGUUCAUAUGCUAAAAAUUUUCUUAACUCAUGCAUGAACUUCUUUCUUUGCUGAUAUGAAAGAUGUUCUGGGAUUAGAACACUUGCUAAGUAAUUUGCAAAGUCUGCAAACCAUGGAAUCAAAUCUUAGGAAGCUUCCAAUAACUGCUCAUCUGGAAAGCUGUCAUCAAUCUCCAAACCCUUAUCAAUCAUCUACAUAGAUUCCUCCUCUAACCUAGACAAAUAAUCUGCUACUUAAUUCUCUAUACCUUUUCUGUCCUUUACCUCGAAAUCAAAUUCUUACAAGAAACAGCACCCGCCGAAUAAGCCUUGGCUUUACAUCAUUUUUAGCCAUUAAGUACAACAAUGUUGCAUGAUCGGAGUGCACAAUCACCUUUGUCCCAAUCAAGUAAGAUCUAAAAAUUUUAAAGGCAAAAACUAGUGCCAAUAACUCUUGCUCAAUCAUGAUAUAGUUCUUUUAAGCAGGAUUUAGUGCCUUACUAGAAUAGUAGAUGGAAUGAAAGAUCUUCUCUUUUCUUUGGACUAGUGCAUCCCCUAAAGCCGAUCUGCUAGCAUCACACAUAAUUUUGAAAGGUAAAGACCAAUCCGGAUACACAAUGAUUGCAGCAGACACCAAUUUCUCUUUUAAGUUUGCAAAUGCCUUGUUACAGGCUUCAUCAAAAUUGAACUUUACUUCUUUCUCAAGAAGCUUGCAAAAUAGACUAGCAAUCUUUGAAAAACCCUUGAUAAAUCAUCUAUGAAACCUGCAUGCCCUAGAAAACUCCAAAUUCCCUUUAUAGAAAUUGGAUAAGGUAAUUUUUCAAUCACCUCCACUUUUGGUAAAUUAGCCUCUAUUCCUCUCAUUGAAAUCUUGUGCCUAAGCACAAUUCCUUAUUUAACCAUGAAAUGGCACUUUCCCCAAUUAAAUACCAAACUACAUUCUUCACACCUCUGUAGAGAUUUUGUUAAGUUCUUUAGACAUUCAUCAAAAAAGUUCCCUACAACCAAAAACUCAUCUAUAUAAACUUCAAUGGUGCCUUCCACCAUAUCAGAAAAAAUGGACAUCAUAUAUCUCUAAAAUGUGACAGGAGCGUUGCGUAGCCCUAAUGACAUUCGUUUGAAUGCAAAGGUCCUAUAAGGACAUGUAAAGGUGGUCUUCUCAUGGUCUUCCGGUGCAAUCAUGAUUUUAUUGUAACUGGAAUACCCAUCAAUAAAACAAUGCCAUCCUCCGUCUACUAAUCUGUCCAUCAUUUGAUCCAUGAACGACAUCGAAAAGUGGUCCUUCUAAAUCCAAGCAUUUUACUUUCUAUAAUCCAUGCAUACUCUACAUCUAGUGACUGGUCUCAAAGGAACUAGCUCAUUCUUCUCAUUAGACACGACGGUUAUUGAUAACGCUCAACUUAAACCUUAUUUAGUGCAAGGCAGUCAUCGUCAAUAUAUUUACCCAAAUUUGGAGUCCGGGUCGAAUCCACGGGGAACAAUAUGAGUGGCGAUUAAAUCAAAUUAAAACUAUAGCUACAAGUUGAAUUCAAAUGCAUGAUACGAAAAGAUAAAGUGGGGGUUUUUAAUGAUUAGCAAAUAAUUGUUGGUCACUCUAGUUUCAGUGUUUGUAAAUCAAGAGUCUAUGAAAUAACCAGAAUUAUGUUCACUAAGGCUUCCGGUACAUGACAGAUGCUAGAAGCGGUUCAAGAUUCUCAUGGUGGGUAGGAUAACAAGCUAUAUUUAUUGUUGUUAUGCUUAAUUAUCUCUCGACCUACUUAAGCGUUUCAUUCUCUAAUCCUCUUGAACAUAGGGAAUUUCUAUUUACUGCCCAGAUUUAACCUCAGGUUAACCAACCUUGUUAUAGCGUUGAUUAUUAAACGAAGUAUUUCCGAGUCCCUUUUGAUAAUUCACUUCCUACUAUAUUUGAUUUCUUUCUCAAGCAAACCAAAGCAAGCAUGUCUACUGUUUUCAACCAACAUACGUUAAUUAAAACUUCAGAAUUAUCAAGAAAUCCUACCGUCUUUUGAAUCCUGAAUACUUAGCACCUCAUCAAGACCUAACCCUAGAUUCCAUAACUCAAGUUAAUGGAGUUUAUCCACUCAUGAUGUAAUGAAAGAAACACAUAAUUGAAUUCAUGAUUUGAAAGAUAAACUUACAGAGCAAUGAAAAGCAAUAAUUGUUUCUUCGAUUCAAUCACUAAAUAACUCCACAAAAAGCAAUAGUAAUCUCUCACAAGUUAAUGGUGAUAGUUAUCCAAAACUAGAGAGAGAAAUACUAAAGUUCGUGAAGUUCCAGAUGUCUAAGAUUUCUUCUCCUUUUUAAUGAAACCCUAAAAGAUGCUAUUUAUAGCUGUAACUUAAAGGAAAUUCGGAAUAAAAAUUUUUGAAAUUCGUCCCUUAGAUGACUCAAACUCUUAAGAAAAACCUAGACUUGUCCUUCAAUACUUAGAUUCUCCCUAGUAAGACUAACAUAACUGCUAUAGUCAAUCCAUCUCAUCAUAUCAUUUUAUUUCCCAUAGACGACACUGUCUAGGAUCACUCAUCACAAUAGUAUAAAGUGUCUGAAGCUUUUUUUCUCACUUGUCAAAUUUUGAUUCUUGCAACUAAAGUAAUUUAUUCAUUGAUUUCACUAGAAUUUCAUCACAGAGAAUUUACUGGAGAUACUGCAAUUAAUGUGAUCUGUUCAUUGGUUUCACCAAAAAUUCAUCACAAGAUUCCACAAUUCAAGUUAUAUGUUCAUUGAUUUAGCCAAAAUUCAUCCUUUUUAAUAAAUACAUGAUCUGCUUAUAAGUACCUGAAUUGUGUUUGAUGAAAUUUUGAACUAAUUUCUAUAACUAAAUCUUGUUUAAAAGUUUAAAAAAAGUCCAAAAAGAAAAUAAUAAUGAAAAAUUUGAAAAUCUCUCACUUCAGAAGUAAAGAAAAAAUGAAAAUAAAGCAAUUAGAAAACAAGCUAUCCAAACCAAUCAAAUUAGGCUUAAUCAAAUAAAAAAUAAAAUAGAUAAAUUUUUUUACAAAAAAUAAUGGAUCUCACUCUCAACCUGAAAACUCAUUAUAGGAGAGAAAUCCAAAUAGAGAACCAAAACUACUGAAGAUCAAAUAUUAAUAGAUAGAAAUUAAUCAAUUUCUUCCAGACAGAUAUGUGAAGUUCAAAGUCAGUGCUAACAUUAAUAAGAAAAAUCACUUAUUUAAAAUGAGUAAGUAAAACCAAAAUUAUUUCUUUUUUGACAUUUUUAAACUUUUAACAAGAUUUAAUUACCAAAAUUAGUUAUCAACUUUAUCAAACAUGAUUCAAGUACUUAUAAGUAGAUCAUGUAUUUGUUAAAAAGGGAUGAAUUCUAGCUAAAUCAAUGAACAUAUCACUCGAAUUGUGAGAUCUCAUGAUGAAAAUUCUAGCAAAACCAAUGAACAAAUCACAUUAAUCGCGGCAUCUCUAGUAAAUUAUCUGUGAUAAACUUCCAGCGAAACCAAUGAAGGGAUCACCUUAAUUGCAAGAAUCAAAAUUUAACGAGUGAGAGAUAGAGCUCGGGAGAUUUUAUACUAUAGUGAUGAGUAAUCCUAGAAAAUGUGGUCUAUGAAAAAUAAAAUGAUAUGAUGAGCUGGAUUAAAAAUAGUAGUUAUGUAAGUCUUAUCAAGGAGAAUCUAAAAUCAGAUUACAUAAUUUAGUAGUUGUUAGACCGAAGCACACUAGAAUAAGAAAAACAAUUAUAAAAAUUGAUAAUUAAAUUUUGUAGUCAAAGACUAAUGAAUGAAUUUACUCUUGUUCUAAAGACAUAACAAUAUUUUAGUAAAAGAUUUAUGUGCACUCAGUGUUUAUACCAACUUAGUGAAAGCAUGAAAUAUAUAUUAACUUAUCAGCAGAUCAAAAUAGUUUUGAAGGAUGAAUCAUGCAAUUAAAUACACCAGACAAAAUUAUAUACAAAUACAAACAAGUGUACAGUUUACAAAUUAGAGAACGGUUGCUCCAUCGGCAAAAUAUAAAAUUUACAAUUUAGAGAACGAUUGCUCCUUCAGCCAACAUAAAGAAAAAUUAGGAGUACAAAAAGUCAGCAAAUCAAAGAGGUUUUUUCAUUCCAUCACUUUUUGUGUAGAUAUGAUAGGUUCAUGAUCAACAACUUGGAAGGACGCUGCAUACAAGAUCAAGAAAUAAGUUUAUCAGAAUAUAAUGGGCCCAACAAAAAUUAAUGGAGAAAUAAAGUAUUCUCCAUUACAGGCUUGGAAAGUUUUCUAGUUAAUUGGAAAACUAGUUAUAUUUUGUAAUAUUUCAAAGAGCAUUUCUGGAGGGGUUUUGAUCUUAGGCGUAUUUAUACUCCUAAGUGUCAUUAUUUAUAAGCAUUUAGCUUAAUUUUGAGGAUAAUUUUGUGUGCUUAAUGGGUAAUUAAUAGUAUAACCGUGUAAUUAUGUGUUGAAGUACAUUUUUAGGAUGUUCAUGGUGCAUAUGAAACAAGUCAAGAGUCAAAAUGAUGAAAUAGAUUUUAGAUGAGAAAACUAGUGGUGCUAGCUUGAUAUAUGCUUGUUCUAGUGUACUUUGAUGAGCUCUAUUGUGAUGUAUGAACUAAUUCUCAUUAUAUGAUGUUGUAGGAUACCAUUGGAGUUGUUUUUAAAGCUAAUUAAAGCCUACAAACAAUUCACAAGAAAUUGGAAAACAAGGAUCAAAUGUAUGAGAAGAUGAGAGCUAAAAUAAAGCAAAAUACCACCUUUUUUGAGACGUCUUGCACCGCACCCCCAAAGCAAGUAAUGGGAUAUGCUCCAUAUCCCCUAGGGAAACCCCAAACUGCCUAACUUUUUUUGGGUGAGCACCACAUCCCCUAUAUCCAACCUUUGACCUUGCGGCACGCGACCUCUCUCAAGGUGUCCAAAAGUUGAUUGUUAAGUCAGUUAAGUAAGGGACAAUAUGGUAAAUAAUGGGUUAAUUAGCAAACCAAAUUAGUUUGACUCAUUCCAAUCACGAGGAUCAGCUACGCGAUCGUAACGACCAGCCUUGUUAUCGAUCAAUGUUGACCCUAAUGAUCAUGAGGUGGGGGGCGCGAUUGUGAGGCACUAUUCACUAAACAGUACAAAAUCUUUUUUUUAUGUGUUUUCUUUAUUUUGGAUCUUUGAGAUUUCAAUUUAGGUAAUUUUUGAGGGUUUCUUCAUCAUUUAAGCUUGGGUAAGCUACAAAAUCUUAUUCCCAUUACUCUUCAUCAAUUAUAUUGAUAUGUGAGCAUAUGCUAACACAUUUGAGGCUUUUAACUCUAAAUAAUUGCAAGGUCUUGAGAAACUUUAGUUAUUUUUAAUUAGUUUAUGUUUGAUUUUGUAGUUUAAGCUGAUAUGAUAGAGAACCAACAUGAAAUGAAGCAAAGAAGUUGAAGUUUGAAGAAAUCUGAAGACAAAUGUGGCUGACGACAUUUGUGAUAAGUCAUUAGCCCUAUGAUAAGCUAUCAGGUUGGUCGUCAUCAGUAGACAGAGAAUUGUCCUAAAGUGGAAGUUGUGACGAUAUUUUGUGAUAAGCUGUCAAGGGUCUAAUAAGUUAUCAAGAAUAUCGUCAGCCUAAGGUAGCCAAGGAGAACUGAAGCAAAGCCUUGACGAUAUUUUGUGAUAGGCCAUCACGUAGCUGAUAGGUUAUCAAGUUUGUCAUCAGCCUUAAGCAGGAAGAGCCCAAAAUUGAAGAAGAAGCUGACGACAUUUGUGAUAAGUUGUCAGCUUCCUGAUAAGCUAUCACAAAUGUCGUCGGCUAAUCCGAAGGAUUUCUGAUUUUUAUUAAUUUUUUUCCUUAUUUAGGGUAAACUAUUUAAAGCUUUGUCUUAGGAUUUUCUAGAUAUGAUUAUUAUUAUUAUUAUUCCGCACAAGGUAGACACCUGGUGUUUUGGACAGUAUAUUUUGAUAUUUUCUCUCUUUACUUCUUGACUUUAACAACACAACUAUUUUUGAGAGAUUAUUAUCAAUAUUUUAGGAUUUUUUCUUUGUGAUCUAAUCUGCGAUUCACUAGUUAUUAUUUAUCUCUAUAAGUUUAUCUUUCAAAUCAUGAAUUCAAUUAUGUGUUUAGUUCAUUACAUCAUGAGUAGCUAAACUCCAUUAACCUGAGUUAUGGAAUCUAGGGUUAGGUCUUGAUGGGGUGCUAAUUAUUCAAGAUUCAAAAGGUGGUAGGAUUUCUUGAUAAUUCUGAAGUUUUAAUUAAUGUCUGUUGGUUGCAAACAGUAGACACACCUUCUUUGAUUUGCUUGAGAAAGAAAUCAAAUAUAGUAGUAAGUGAAUUAUCAAUAGGGACUCGGAAAUACUUCAUUUAAUAAUCAGCGUUGUAACAAGGUUGGUUAACCUGAGGUAAAAUCUGGACAGUAAAUAGAAAUUCCCCAAGUCAGAGAAGAUUAGGGAAUUAAAUGCUUAAGUAGGUCGAGAGACAUUUAAGCAUAACAUCGAUAAAGAUAGCUUGUUAUCCUACCCACCGUGAGAAUCUUGAACCACUUUUAGCAUCUUUCAUGUACCGAAAGCCCUAGUGAACAUAAUUUUGGUUAUUUCAUAAACUCUAGAUUUACAAACACCGAAAAUAAAGUAACAAACAACAACUUGUUAAACCUAAACCCCCCCAUUUUAGGAAACAUUAAACUAUCAGUGGAUUAAAUCGUAAACAAAUUGAGUUCACACCAUAUUUCCUAUGGAAUUAGACCUCAACCUAGUUGGAUUUUAUAUUGACAACGAUCACUUACACCCAUUCAAGAGUGUAAUUUGAGCAUCAUCAAAAAUGGCACCGUUGCCGGGGAAUAUGGUUGUAAGCUAAAGUUUGUAUGCGUUAAUUGACUGUUAGUUAAGUUUCCUAGAUUUACGUUUAUUUGUUGUUUUUGUUUAUUUGCAGGAUUUUAUAGUGUAUGCCAAGCACCAGAAGUUCUGGAGAAAUAUUAUUACCACUAAAUCCAAAAUUGCAACGAAUAGGAAGAAUGGCAGAACAAUAAGAGGCUAACAGACUGGCAGCCUUAGCUAGAGCUCAAGUGAAUGUGCAAAAUGUCGGGCAAGAGGAAGAGAAGUUAUUAAACCCUGGUAACCCAAGGCAUGCAGAGCUGAUAGCUACACAAGUGUCACGUAAUGUUAAUCGGAAUCGUUCAUUCCAAAAAAGACAAGAGUACUAGCUGGCCCAGUAUGAUCUUAAAGAUAAUGAUGAUGGCAUAGAUGGGGUAGGUACAACGGGUGUAAUUAUUCCUCCACCGUUGGCACCUGGAGCCAAGUUCAACAUUACAAGUACUAUGAUCCAAUUUCUCAAUAUAAAGAGGUUUUUUGAUGGCCUUCCUGACGAUGAUCCGAACCUAUAUCUGGUGAAUUUUGUCACCAUUUGCAAAUUUUUUGAUAACCUAGGAGUGGGCCAGAACACUAUACGGUUGAGGUUUUUCCCAUUGUCUCUAUCUGGAGAGGCAACAUUGUGGCUGAAUGAGCUUACGCCUGAUUCCAUCACCUACUAGAGAAAAUUGAAAGAAGCGUUCCUAGAAUGGUUUUUUCCACCCUCCAAGAGGGUACAGUUGAGGGAUGAAAUCAGCAAUUUUAGAUAGCUCCCUACUAAAGCUUUGCAUGAUACUUGGGAGAGAUUCAAGAAGAAGCUAACACAGUAUCCGAACCAUAAUAUGACGGACCUACACUUGAUGGAGACUUUAUACAGGGCCCUCAACUCUGUAACAAAGACGAUUGUAGAUAAUGCUGAUGGUGGUUCGUUUAUUGAUCUAUCUUUUUAAUAUGCCUUAGAUAUGCUAAAUAGGAUGGUCAGUCUUGGCAUACCAGGGAGCCUAUGGUAGCAAACCCCAUUAUUUUUGUUGGUACGUCUGCUGAACAAUGCAGGAGAGAUAAGGAGUGGGAUCAAGACAUAGCCCAUCUAAAAACUCAGAUGGACUUUCUCACCAAGCACUUAUUGUCAGGGAAGACUAAGAAAGUGAAAGCUGUAACGUCUUAAAACUGAGUGGAUGUGGAUCCUGAAGAAGAGGCAAAUUAUGUUAGUAAUUAGGGGGGUUUUCAAGACAAUAGCCAAGGGAAUCAAAGUCGAAAAGUUUAUGACAAGCCUGGUUACAAAGAUAGGGAGCAAGCAAACUAGAGAAGAAAUAAUGACAGGAGUGGUUUGUAUGUUCCUCCUAGAAAUUGGGAAGCUGCUACAACUAGCUCGGGAAAGAUGUCCAUGGAGGACAUGAUGAAGAAAUUAUUGAAGGGAGUUGAGGCCACCAACUCUGGAGUAACCACUAUGAAGACUGAUCUGACAUCCAUCAGUCAGUUGGUGCACUCACACUCCACUGCCAUCAAACAGUUGGAGUAGCAGAUGAGCUAAAUUUUAGCUGCAUUCAACCAGAGUAAAAGUGGAACUUUACCGAGUGAUACAGUUUAUAAUCUGUGGAAUGAUGGCUCAUGAAUGGCAUUAACACUAGGAGUGGUAAGAUAUUACCUGGCCCUUCUGUAUGCAAAUCUGUAGAUGGUGAGGUAAUUGUUGAUGAAUCUGAAAAAAGCAAUCCAGUAGAGUCUGAGAAGCUGGAUAGUUCUAUUAAUGCUUUGGAGAAGGAAAGAGAGAAGAAAGAGGAAGUGAUGUUGAAAACUAUCCCAAGACCAGCACCUCCUUUUCCUCAACGAUUGAAAAAGAAGGAUGAUGAUGCAAAAUAUAACAAAUUCAUGGCAAUGCUCAAGCAAUUGACAAUAAAUGUGCCUUUGGUUGAGGCACUUGAGCAAAUUCCAGGAUACGCAAAAUUCAUAAAGGACCUUGUGACUAAGAAAAGAGCUGUGAGCUACGAAUUAGAGGAAAAUCUCCACCAUUAUAGCGUUAUUUCUACAAGAACCUUGGUGUAGAAGAAGCUAGACCCGGGUGCAUUCACUAUUCCCUGUACAAUUGGGACUAUGGAAUUCUCCAAGGCAUUAUGUGAUCUGGGAGCAAGCAUUAAUUUGAUGCCACUGACUGUUUAUAGAAAUUUCGGUCUGGGAAAUCCCACACCCAGCAACAUGCGACUCGUGAUGGCGGAUUGGUCAGUAAAGCGACCUGUUGGCAUUUUGUAUGAUGUGUUGGUGAAGGUGUCUAACUUUAUAUUCCCUGUAGACUUCGUCAUUCUGGAUUGCGAGGUGGACUUCAAGGUGCCCAUAAUUUUGGGUCGACCUUUCUUCGCAGCCGAAAGUGUGUUGAUUGAUUUGAGAGUGAAUAAGCUCUUAUUCAGGAUGAAUGAUGAAGUGGUCCAAUUUGAUGUGGGUAAGUCAAUGAAGCAACAUGAAGAAAUGAGUGUUUUUUCAGUAGUUGAUGUGUAUUAUGAGGAUGAACAGAAAGUGUCCAUAACUGAGCAACCUGUUAUCGAACCUUUGGCCAUAAUUAUGAUGAAUUAUGAUAGUGAAGGCAUCAGAGAGUAUGAAGAGACCAUUUGUGCUUUGACAGGAAUGGGUUCAUAUCCUUAUGGUCCUAAAAAUCUAGACCUUAACCUUGCUAAUCGACCAACACCACCAGCCAAGCCAUCUAUUGAGGAGCCUAUGGUGUUGGAAUUGAAAGAACUAUCUGGACACUUACGAUACGUGUUUUUGGGCAACGAAAACACGCUACCUGUUAGUAUUUUAGCUGAUUUAGAUAAGCAACAGGUAAACACACUUAUUUUAGUACUUUAGAGGCACAAGAGAGCUAUAGGCUGGACCAUCCCAGAUAUUAUUGGUAUUCCCUCGGGCAUCUGCUCGCAUAAAAUUCAACUUGAAGAAGAUUGUAUUCCAACCAUAGGGCAUCAUCUCCGUCUUAACCCACCAAUGCAAGAGGCGGUUAAGAAGGAUAUUAUUAAGUGGUUGGAUACAGGAGUGGUUUACCCUAUUUUUGACAGCAAGUGGGUGAGCCCAGUUCAAUGCAUACCCAAAAAAAUGGGCAUGACAGUGGCUGCUAAUGAAAGGAAUGAGUUAAUUCCACUCAGGCCUGUAACUGGGUGGAGAGUUUAUAUGGACUACUGCAAACUAAAUUCUUGUACUUUGAAAGACCACUUCCCGAUGCCCUUUAUGGACCAAAUGCUUGAUCAAUUGGCUGGAAGGGAGUGGUAUUACUUCUUGGAUGGUUAUUUCGGAUACAACCAAAUCUGCAUUUCUCCUAAAGAUCAGGAGAAGAUGACAUUCACAUACCCAUAUGGCACCUUUGCAUUUAAGAGAAUGUCAUUUGGGCUAUGCAAUGCGCCCGCCACUUUCAACGGUGUAUGAUGUCUAUUUUUUCAGACAUGGUGGAGAACACCAUAGAGGCAUUCAUGGAUAAUUUCUCUAUGGUGGGUGAUUUAUUCGAGAUGUGUUUAGAAAAUCUGAAUCUAGCCUUGCAGAGAUAUGUUGAAUUUAAUUUGGUGCUUAACUGGGAAAAAUGCUAUUUCAGGGUAAAGAAGAGCAUCGUUCUUAGCCACAAAAUUUCCAAAAAAGGGAUAGAAGUUGAUCAAGCAAAAGUGGAAGUUAUUGAGAAACUACCACCUCCCAUUUCAGUGAAGGGAGUGCAUAGUUUUCUUGGACAUGCUAGAUUUUAUCGAAGAUUUAUAAAAUACCUCUCGAAAUUUGUAAAUCCAUUUUUCAAACUUUUAGAGAAAGAAGUGAAAUUUUCCUUCGAUGAUGAGUGCUUGAAGGCAUCUAAAUGCCUUAAUAAGAAGCUGGUUGAGGCCCCUAUUGUUGUUGCACUUGACUGGUCAAAACCAUUUAAGAUCAUGUGUGAUUCCAGUGGUGUUGCCCUUGGAGAUGUAUUGGGACAAAAGAGGGAUAAAAUGUUUCAUCCGAUAUAUUACACUAGCAAAGCACUGAAUGGAGCGCAAAAGAAUUACACUGUCACUGAAUAGGAACUUCUGGUCGUAGUGUAUGAUUUUGAGAAGUUCAGAGCUUAUAUUCUUGGGACCAAAGUGGUGGUCCACACCGACCAUGCUGCCUUGAGGUAGCUGAUGGCUAAGAAAGAUGCAAAACCAAGGCUGAUUAGAUGGGUAUUGCUGCUGCAAGAAUUCGACUUUGAGGUUAAAGAUAGGAAAGGUUGUGAAAACCAGGUUGCAAAUCAUCUGUCUAGAAUUGAGGUGAACAGGAAAUUAGUGAUGAAACAAAGAUAAAUAAUGCAUUCCCUAAUGAGAAGAUCCUGGUUGCCGCUGUGGAAAAAUUACCUUGGUAUGCGGAUUAUGCAAAUUAUGUUGUGAGUAAGCUCAUCCCAGAAAACCUUUCUUUCCAUUAAAGGAAGAAAUUCUUGCAUGAUGUGACUCAUUACUUCUGGGAUAAACCAUAUCUUUUUUGGUGAUGUGCGGACAAUAUUAUAAGGAGAUGUGUACCGAAAGUGGAUGUAUUGUGCAUAUUGGAAGCAUGUCAUGCUUCUCCAGUUGGGGGCACCAUGCAGGCAACCGAACGACUAGGAAGGUAUUGCAGAGUGGCUAUUGCUGGCCAACAUUGUUCAAGGAUGCCCAUGAGUUUAUGCUGAAAUGUGACCAAUGUCAGAGGCAGGGAUCAAUCUCCAAAAGACAUGAGAUGCCCUUGACUAAGAUGCUUAAAGUGGAAUUGUUUGAUGUCUGGCGCAUUGAUUUCAUGGGUCCUUUUAUAAGUUCAUAUGGGAUGAAGUAUAUUUUAGUUGUUGUUGACUACAUCUCGAAAUGGCUCGAAGCUGUAGCAUUGUCUGAUAAUGAAGGAAAGAGGGUUGUUGUUUUUCUCAAGAAAAACAUCUUCUCUCGCUUUGGAGUACCACGUACUAUUAUAAGCGAUGGAGGAUCUCAUUUUUGUAACAAAUUAUUUAGAGCAGCUUUAGCAAAAUAUGGGGUAAAACAGGAUCGAGUAGCUACUCCAUACCACCCAUAAACCAUUAGGCAAGUGGAGGUAUCAAAUCGAGAGAUUAAAGUCAUCCUAGCUAAACCGGUGAACGCUAGUUGGAAAGAUUGGUCUCGAAAGCUUGAUGAUGCCCUGUGGGCAUAUCGGACUGCGUUCAAGACACCCAUUGGUAUGUUACUAUUUCAGCUGGUCUAUGAAAAAGCUUGCCACCUACCAAUAGAGCUGGAGCACAAAGCCUUAUGGGCACACAAAGGCUGAAUUUGAAUUAGAAGAAGGCAGCAAAGUUAAGACUGGGGCAACUAAAUGAGAUGGAUAAAUUCUGUCUUAGGGCAUAUGAACGAGAAGAUCUGUAUAAAGAAAUGAUAAAAAAAUAUCACAAUUGGAGGAUAGAGAAACGAGACUUCCAAAAGGGUGACAUGGUGCUUCUGUUCAAUUCCAGACUCAAAUUGUUCUCAGGUAAGCUGAAAUCUAAGUGGUCAGGCCCUUUUAAAGUUAGCCAAGUCUACUCAUCUAGAGUAGUGGAAAUUGAAAAUGAUGACGGCAGUACCUUCAAGGUAAAUGGGCAACGUGUCAAGCUUUACAUUGGUCUGAAAGAAUUAAUAAAAAGUAUCACCAUUAUCUGUCUCAAUGAUGUCUAAAGUAAUCAAGAUACCUGAGUUGUGCCGCAAUGUUAAAUCAGGCGCUGCAUGAGAGGCAACCCAUAAACCCCGGGAUUGAUCCAUUCCAGGUAUACUCUUACCCUGAGUUUAGCUUUAUUUUUAAUUUUAAGCUAAGGGUGUAGAGUAGUAUGUUGUUGUAACAAUUUUUGUUAGAUAAGAGGAGUAAUACAGGUACUUGAGGCAGUUAGCUUGUUUUGUGACUUUUGAGCACCUCUCCAUUGAUCUGAGUUAUAACUGUGUGAAUUCCAUUCAUCUGUGACUGCGGUGCAUCUUUUUAUGGCAUUAGUCUGGCGACUUGAUGAUUUUUGCUAAACAAAUUGCAUGAAUCGGAUAAGUAGUGAUAUGUGAUGUAUUUGUGUACCAUGUGUGUGUGAGGUCUUACUCAGUUCCUACUGUGUGUCGAAUCUAAAACUUUCUCUGUUAGUCCUGCCUAGGUUGUAGGAUAGGGGUUACGAAAGGAUCAUAGGCCAUUUUUUGUUGUAACCCACUUUCAGCCUAAAUGGCCUUCCCAAUGUGAAUAAUAUCCCUUGAUCCCUGAUUUGAGCCUAUAUGCCUAUUUCUUUCUAUGAAACCUCUCACCUUCCCGUUUACCCCACAAUGAACCUGUUUUAGCCCUGGUCCUCCUUGGAUACUGUGCACCUUGACUUAGGCAAAUAUCCUAAGUUGAGGGUGGCUAUCAUAGGGGUGCGUGAUGCAAAAUGAGCAUGAAGAGAGGUAGAAUAAGAGAAAAGAACAAAAAUUUAGGUGCUGUGAAAAAGGUAUAAGAAAAGAGAAAGUUAUGUUAAAUAUGAUAAAAAGAUAAUAUGAUGAUUGAAAAGACCGCAUCCAUCUUGAGCAUGUGUGAUCAAUAAAAGAAGAGGAAGAAAAUAAGGUUGAGAAGUGAAACCCUAAGAGCUUAGUGUAGUGUCAAGGAGGUAUAGUCACUCUAAAAUAUCCAUGAAUAUCAUACCACCCCCUAGCCUACAUUACAAGCCUAAGAAAAGCCCUAAAGUGAUCCCCUCCCGGAAGAUUGGGGUACUGACUAUAAGGGCAAGCCUAUGGCAUUUGACAUGUAGUGCUUGGAACUUCAUUCUGAAAGUGAGACUUAUGAUUAUCCCUAUGUUUAUGUAUGUGAAUUCUGAUAUGUGUGAAAAAGGAAUUUCUUUAUUGUGAGGGCACAUUGGGUAUAUUGCUAAGUCAUUGACUUGUUCAGAUAGUGUGAAUUGGUAUGGCAUGAUUGUUAUUGCUGAAUUUUUUCCGUAUCUUGAUGCUUGUGAGUUGCAUGGUUGUUCUUCAAAACAUCAAUAGUGAGUUUUAAAUUAACUGACCUUGGAGAUGGUGAAAUUAUUCUAAACUAAUAUGAGUAGUUAGCUACCAAAUUGUACUUUGUAUUCUCUUAGUUAUAUUUUGGUUGCUUGAGGACAAGCAAUUGUUUUAACUUGAGGGUGUUGAUGUGUGAGCAUAUGCUAACACAUUUGAGGCUUUUAACUCUAAAUAAUUGUAAGGUCUUGAGCAACUGUAGUUAUUUUUUAUUAGUUUAUGUUUGAUUUUGCAGUUUUAGCUGAUAUGAUAGAGAACCAAAAUAAAAUGAAGCAAGGAAAUUAAAAUUUAAAGAAAUCUGAAGACAAGUGUGGCUUACGACAUUUGUGAUAAGUCGUCAUCCCUGUGAUAAGCUAUCAGGUUGGUCAUCAUCAGUAGAGAGAGAAUUGGCCUAAAGUGGAAGUUGUGACGAUAUUUUGUGAUAAGCCGUCAAGGGUCUGAUAAGUUAUCAAGAAUGUCGUCAGCCUAAGAAAGCCAAGAAGAACUGAAGCAAAACCUUAACUACAUUUUGUGAUAGGCCAUCACGUAGAUGAUAGGUUAUCAAGUUUGUCAUCAGCCUUAAGCAGGAAGAGCCAAAACUGAAGAAGAAGCUGACGACAUUUGUGAUAAGUCGUCAGCUUCCUGAUAAGCUAUCACAAAUGUCGUCGGCUAAUCCGAAGGAUUUCUGAUUUUUAUUAAUUUGUUUCCUUAUUUAGGGUAAACUAUUUAAAGCUUUAUUUUAGGGUUUUCUAGACAUGAUUAUUAUUACUAUUAUUAUUCCACACAAAGCCGACACCUGGUGUUUUGGACAGCAUAUUUUAAUAUUUUCCCUCUUUACUUCUUAACUUUAACAACACAAUAAUUUUUUAGAGAUUAUUUUCAGUAUUUUGGUAUUUUUCCUUUGUGAUCUAAUCUGUGAUUCACUUGUUAUUACUCAUUUCUGUAAGUUUAUCUUUCAAAUCAUGAAUUCAAUUAUGUGUUUCGUUCGUUACAUCAUGAGUGUCUAAACUCCAUUAACCUGAGUUGUGGGAUCUAGGAUUAGGUCUUGAUGAGGUGCUAAGUAUUCAAGAUUCAAAAGGUGGUAGGAUUUCUUGAUAAUUCUGAAGUUUUAAUUAACGUAUGUUGGUUGCAAAUAGUAGACAUGCCUGCUUUGGUUUGCUUGAGAAAGAAAUCAAAUAUAGUAGAAAGUAAAUUAUCAAUAGGGACUCGAAAAUACUUCGUUUAAUAAUCAGCGCUGUAACAAGGUUGGUUAACCUGAGGUAAAAUAUGGACAGUAAAUAGAAAUUCCCUAAGUCCAAGAGGAUUAGGGAAUUAAACGCUUAAGUAGGUCGAGAGACAUUUAAGCAUAACAUUGAUAAAGAUAGCUUGCUAUCCUACCCACCGUGAGAAUCUUGAACCACUUUUAGCAUCUGUCAUGUACCGAAAGCCCUAGUGAACAUAAUUCUGGUUAUUUCAUAAACUCUUGAUUUACAAACACCAAAAGUAAAGUGACAAACAGCAACUUGUUAAACCUAAACCCCCCAUUUCUGGAAAUAUUAAACUAUCAGUGAAUUAAAUCGCAAACAACUUGAGUUCACACCAUAUUCCCUGUGGGAUUCUACCCAAACCUAGUUGGGUUUUAUAUUGACAACGAUCGCUUACACCCAUUCAAGAGUGUAAUUUAAGAUUUAUCAUAUAUCCUCAAAAAAUACCUUUAAAUGAUGAUUGCAAAAUAAAAAAUUAAACUCUUUACCGAUGAAGUUUAAAAAAAAAAAAUUCUUCAAUUUGGACCUCGAUUUUUAGCUUUUUUUGUGUGAAUUUUCUCCUGCAAACUCCUAUAAUCUUGAUGAAUGGGCUUUGAAAAUAAAAUUCUAGCUUUAUCUUUUUUUUUGGGAACCCAUUUUGGAUCAGGCCUAAAUAUAAGUGUUAUGAGUAUCGUUAGCUUUAUUUUAAUGCAUAGAUGUUGUAUUUGAAUAUUGUAGUUGAUUCUAAGGCCGUUCGCGAGGGAAAGACUCUGGGUUGAAGUACUUUAGAUCAAAAUUUCAUCAUUUUGAGGUAGGUUAUGGCUUAACUUCUUUCAAAUUGAGUUGGGUAGUUAAUAAACAAGUAAAUCAUACUAUGGGUUGGGGAAAAUAGUUAGAAAUUUAUAUUUCUAGAUUAUUUUUAUUAUUAUGUGCCCUUGUAGAGGACUAUAUUUUGUUGUGGUUGGCUAAUAAUAUCUUAUAUUGCGUGUUGCUCGUGUGGAGAAUUUAUUUGACAUCAUUGGUCUUAUCUGUGUCUUAGAAUACCUUUAUUCUAGAUAUGAUAUCGUGCGGGGGCGUAGUUUCUAAUGUAGGCCUUAUUUGAGCAUUGGUUGCUUUUAUCAUGAUAAAAAUACUCGAAUUAGAGAUUUAUAUAAUAUUAAUUAUGUCAUGCAUGCAUAUUUAUUCUAAUGGUGCUUAAUUGAGUUGAGAAUCAUGAAUUAUGGACGUACUGAUUUAAUUUCCUGGAUCACUUGUAAAUAUAUACUUUUUGGAUGUAUUGGAUAUCGUCACAUUGAGUUGAUUGUGAGCAUUACAUCCUUAUUCCAUACAUAUACAUUCAUGAGAUACUGGUAUCGUUGAAAAACACUAUUUUUGAAAAUGAGACAUUUUUAUGAAACCCUCUCCGUGAACACGAGCCAGAGAGAUGAGAUAAGUUGAAAUUGAGAUAUAGUAUAUGUGUUGCGAGACCCCAUAGGUCCCACCUGACAGAUGCGAGCUCGGUGGUGUAUACAGAAAAUCACAUGAUGGCUUUUAUCAUUCAUUCCAUCUACAUUGCACUGCAUUGCAUUUGCACACACAUCUUGCUUGUUUUUCUUAGUUUCCUUGACUUAUGCUUAGUUUUAGUAUUUCUUUUUCUUUUAUGUAUGUGUUGUUUCUAUUUCUAUGUUCUUAUAUGUAUUAGAACGGUUAGUGAAGAUGGUGUAAGCUAUGUAUGGGACUUUUCUGCUUGAAGGUGACAUGCUCAUUGUAUAUUUUAUUUAUCUUAUUUUCUACUUUGCUCAGUCGAUCUAUGAUACCUACUGAGUGUGAGUGAAACGUAUUCACCCUUAUUAUGCCCUUUCGGUGUAGAUCCUUGCACGAGUACAACUCACAGAGGCUUAUUCAUGCGGUGGAGUUGGUGACACUUUGAGGUACUGGCCCACUCUAGGUUUUUAGAGUCGACUCCAUGCCUCCUCUAUCUAUUAGUUGUCUUUACUUCUAUUUCAGAGACAGACUAUGUAUUUUCAGUUUUGGAUAUUGUAUUAGAUGCUCUUAUGCUAUGAAACCAGAUUUUGGGGUUGGAUUUAUGGAUUUCUUUCAUAUUUCGUUGUAAUUAUAUUUUGCGUUUGGCUUGACUUCAUUCUAGAAUUCCUGUCGAAAUGUAUGAUACUAUAAUUUAUUAUCUCCUUUAUCAAUUAAGGUAAUUGGAUUUCUUAUCAAGAUUGUGUUAUGACAAAUGUCAUCAUGAUCUGAUUUUUGGAUCGCAACACUUUUUUCUAAUUUGCUGAAAAUUGAAACAUGGUACAAUAAGUAAAAAAUUACGUGCCACAAUAAAAAAGUUUUGUUCGUCUUUCCUCUUUAUUUUAAUUUGUUGACAAAGUUCUUUCAUGGAGCUUUUCUAGAAAGAAAAAGACAUUACAUGGAGAAGGGAAGUGGGAAAAAAGGAGUUCAUAUAAAUCAAACUCGCAAUUAUGUGAAAGAUCAUCGUUAGUUAUACUAGACUAUCGGCAAUUACAUGUCAAGUAACCCAUUCUUAGUAUGCUAUUCAACAAUUACAAAUACAAAUGACAAAUUCAAGGCAAAAUGAAAGCAAUAAAAAUUUACGAAAUGAUCUACUUAUAGUUUUUACAAGUACAUAGAUCAACCAUAACACUUGAAACAUUCAAAUCAUAAAUCUUUAAUUAUGGAAACACUUGUUUUACAAAGAAAAAGGGAAGAAGAAAACAAUCGAUAAGAUGGAUUCUUCAAAUGGUAAACACCCCUCAUCUCCAUCUUUAAGGUUGUAGGUUCUCACCGGGGGAACGGAAAGGGUGGGAACUCCUACGUACGGAGGGUCAACAAAGCUCAGUUCUUGGCUUCUUCCUAACAGAAACGCAACCUCUUUGAUGAUCUCUAAAUAUUCUAAUCUCAGAACAAUCCCUCAAAUCCUCAAGACUUAUAUACUGUUGUUUCACCAUUCUUGAAAAAUCACAACCAGUAUCAUUAAUCCAAAUAUAAGGGUGGCAAGAUUCAUUAUAAUAAUAAAGCAAACUCUUAACUCCACCUUUAUAAUAAUUACCAGGCAUAUAAGCCUUGUAAAUUUUCUUGGAAUUUAGCCUCUUUGAUGAUCCUGGUUUCAACGUAUGAACUUUCUUCAAGAUUGAACCAAUCCUUAUUUGCAAUUCAAUUGAUUUAUCACUGAAAUUCCAAAUCCUUGUACCAAAACUAGAGACUUGAGCAAGAUCUUUGCACCCAUUGAAGCACUUCACAAAUGAGACAAGGCUAAAAUAACCACCACCCUCCAUUUCAUUGUGUUUUUUUUUUUUUGGUCACCAAGGCUAGCUUUUUAAAGGGUCUAGAGAAAACAAAUAAUCAUUAUAUGUAGUGUAACUUUCAGCCAAUUGCUAUAUAUUCCAAACUUUGCCUACUAAAUGAUUCUGAUAUUCUUGGAUUUGUGGGCCAUUGAAAGUGUUACUCGUUUGGUUAGGCAGUGAGGAAAAUUUAAGUUUAUUAGCUGUGAGACUAUGACACGUUGUUUUUUCUAUAUUAAGGAGCGACCUGAUUUAUAUCUAAUACUACAAUAUUUCUUAAAGUCGUCUAUAUUCUUCAGCAGUUAUGGUAAAACUAAGCGCCGUUUGAUGGAAUGUAUUUAAAAAAAAUAAUAAUGAAUGCAUUAGCUUAAUGUUUUGCUAAUAAAAUUAAAAAAAGUAGACUUAUUCAUAAAAUUACUAUCCUAAAGUUGACAAGUAUGAAUUGCUUGGAUGGUAAAUACCUCUCACUUUUAAUUCUAAGGUCGUGAAGAAUCACCAUGGAACCAAAAAAAGUGAACGAAUUACCCUAAGAAUUCUACGAAAUGGCCACCUGUGAAAACAUCUCUACUAACAAACUAUUUCAAUAGUACAUUUUUUGGCGUGUCACUCAUGAUGAUUAGAGGACUUAAAGAGUUGGCCGACUCAAAAAAAUUUAGCUAGAAAACAGGUCAGGUAGAUCAACGAUAAUACAAGCAAGCAAACAUGCGGACGAGUUUAAAAAGGUCUUAUGCAACCUUUGAAUUAUCUAUCGUAUUUUCUUUAUUUGUAUCACCAAAACACCCAAAGGGAUGACUAUAUGUACCUCGAAAUCGCCGGCCCCAUCCAAUAAAGAAUUGCGGGAGAAAACUAACAAAUUCUAAGGGUCGAUAGAGAAGUGGUUGUAAAUUAUUAGUUACUGUAUGUUUAUUAGCUGUGAGACUAUGCCUCACUUUUUCUAUUUUGAGGGACAUGCUUUAUAUAAAAUAUAAUACUUUAUCCGUCUAUUUUUAUUUGUUCAUUUUUUAAUUAGCACAUGAAUUAAGAAGUAGUAAAUAAUAGGGAUAAUUUUAUCCUAUUACCUUUUGAAUAUGGUAAAUUUAAUACUUUAAUGAUGUAUUUAACGCUAAGAACAAAAUGGAUAGAAGUAAAUAAAUCAUCCAUUAAUUUUAACAGAACAAGUAUUGUUGAAAUAUAAACAGAAUAAAAUGAACCGAGGGAGUAUUUCAUAAAAGACACCCGUAUCUUUCAGUGAUAAAAAGUCUCCUAAAACUUUGAAAUUACAGAAAUUUAAGUGUUUUUUGUUAACUACUUAAAUCAUACCUUUUCCUCUCUGUGCAGCCUUAGAAUUUCAGUAUCUUGUUAAGUUGAAGAAAACGAGGGGAAAAAGUAAACACAGAAUAGAAAGGAAUAAAUAGUUUCUAAUUAGCUUAGUAAUUAAAUCACGAAUAAUUCUUAACAAUCUUUUAAUCAUCUGAGCAUACGUAACUAAACUAGUUUAAAUUAUGACUAUUGAGUAACACCACAGUAGAACAAAAUUUAAGUUGUAUGAUAGGCUUUAGGAUGAUAAGUUUUGGAUAAAAUCUUAGGAUGUUUAAGGGGCAUUUUCUGUGACUAUGAGAUACCUCAAGGGGUUGAGAAAAAUGUCAAUUUUCUUGACAAUAAUGUCUAAUUUACAUUUCUAAGUGACCACUUAAUUUGGACUAUAACAAGAUAACGGCUACGUUUAUCUGUAUUUCAUCGAGUAGAGGGUCUAUUGGGAACAAUCUCUAUACCUUCAGAGUAGGGGGUAAGGUCUGCGUACACCUAUCUCCUCGGACCUCACUUUGUAAAAUUACACCAGGUAUAUACUGUUAUAACAAGAUAAUGGACAUUCUUGGUAGCUACUUUCUUGGGGUUAGAAAAGCACGGAAAAGAAAAUUAUGGGNNNNNNNNNNNNNNNNNNNNNNNGAAUUAUUUGAUAGUGAAUUAUUGAUUAAGCUUCAAAUGAUUCUGCUUUAUCUACCAUGAUUAUGCUUGUGCUCCUUUUAAUCUUUUUUACUUUAAUAAUUAUAAUUUCUAACUAGAGCACCUUUAGCCUCUUUCUGGCGAAACUUCAGCGCUGGCAAAGAAUUGCCAAUAUUUUUUUAGGAUAAUUGAACUUGACUUGAUUGUGGUCCUGACCCACCAGCCAUUUGGUGAAAAGUAGCACCAAAAAUUAGGCCACCCCAAAAGCUUUAGUGUCCCAGUUAUGAUGUUUGUUGAUGUACAAAGAGGAAAAAAAUUGUAGUGCUCGUAGUUAAAAGUAUUUUCUUGUAUUCCCACAUGGUUCUAUUGAUCUAAAGCACCGUGCCCAAUGCAAGAACGUGAAAUGCUUUUUUGAAAUUCAUAUGCUAAUGUUCCCAAGGGGACAGUGGAUUUUGUAACAUCACUAUCCGAAUUCCAGUGAAUCUGUCAUGUCGAAUGCAAUUCAAGGGCAAUUGUAGUUGGUGCAUUGGUAACUUCGUGUGAUACUUGGGCAAAGUCGAGUGAUCCUUUCGUUACAGAAAAUAGUUUAGGCUCUGGUGAAAUAGCUUAAAGCUGAAUGAUUACCCAUCCAGAAAGAAACAUGCAUUUUAAGUGCCACCAAUUCAAGGCCAAACCAUAGUCACAUCCAGCAGUUGCUCAUUCUAUGAAUCCAAAAGUGACUUGGUAAAAUACAAGUUUCAAUUCCAAUACAAUGAAUGUCACUAACAUAGGUCGUACCCAUGAAUUCAAUGCAACCCAGAGUGCGCAGUUCAAUUAGAAGUCACAGUUUUCUGUUGAGAUUAUGAGAAGCAAGUGAUUUAUCAAGUUGAAUCCAUGAACAUGAUAAAGGGUUCUUUUGGGUUUGAGAAGUAGACAAGGGUACACGUCAAGAAAGAAAACUAUUUCCCGAGUUUAUUACACUGGUGGUAAUGGCAAUUGAGGACCCGUAGACUUAAAAGUAGCCCCAAAAACUAAUGAUUCAAUUUCUGUCCAAACUACAUGCAUUUGUAUAAUCCGCCUGUACAAAUGAAGACUGGAAAAGCAUCACCAAAGGGAUGCCAAAAUCAUCAACAAGAAAUAUUAACUAUGGCCGUAUCAUCAGUAGGAAAUUUACAAAGAUAAUACCAGUCCUAUUUUUCAUGAUUGUCUUGAGCAGAAUCUAUCUUUAUUAUAAGUGGCUGGUCGAGACGUGCAGCUGAAUCAGCCACAGUUGGUAGCUCUGGUAUUGACAAUAUGUCAUCAAUGUCUUCAUUUUCAGCCAGUGCUUUUUCUAAAGCGGCCUUCGCAACUCUUGUGACACAAAUAAUUAAAAACACUGCAAUACACACAACCAAGGUGGUUAUUUUCAGUAUUACUGAAAUCCUAUGUCCAAAUCUGUUGGCAUUUCAUCAAAAAAUGCAAUAUAGUUAAAGGUAAGUACAUUAACUUCAGCAAUAGGAGCAUGCUGUAAAAUAAGUAAAAGAGGUGGCUACAUCACAAAUUGUGUAAUGAGCUCAAGAAGUCUAUUUGCAAUAGCCAUGUUGCACCAAAAACAAAAAGAAGAGAAGAUAUACAUCUUUGCCAAAUAGAGAUGGAAAAUAUCUUCUUUUUACUUGCAUCGAAGGUAAAUAAACCUUUCUUAUCAUUAGUAAGAUAGGUUGUCUUGGUUCCGUAACCUGGAUCAUUUCAAAUCUGGUUUUCAUGAAUAUGGAACCCAUUCAUUAUUUUUUAUCAUUGGUAGUUCCGGAUAGUAAUCUUUUUUGAUAGAUAGUUAUUUGUAGCAUAUACUUGAGUAUUAGAGUGUGUAUGACAAAAUUAGGUUAUCCUAAAUGCUAGCAAGAGAAUGCUCAAGUUUUAAGAGAGUUAAGAGUCAAGGUGAUUGUGCAUUUCCCCAAUUAAUUCAAUUCGAGUCAAAUUACAAGCUACAUUAUAAUGCCAGCUUUCAAGUUAAAGAGACUCUAAGAAAAAGAUUUGACUUGUAAUUUUCACUUUCUAACAACAUACAAUAUCUUAAGAAAUAUUAAAUACUGACUGUAAUAUCAUAUGUACAACUCUUCUCUGAUCAAUAACAAAAAAAAGUAAAGCAUUAUUAGGAUUGGAGACUCACCAGACACCAAAAGGCCAAAUAUUAUCAUAGCCUGGCCACAUAGAAAAACAAAAAGAAAAAGGAUUAUCAAAUAAUCAAUAGUAACAAACAACAAGAAGGAUUGAUUUGGUCUGCAUGGUGAAAGUGGAGUUAAUAAAAUCAUCCAUUUUAUUGGAUCAGAAGUCGACAGCAAAGUAGGGCUAGAAUGAUUACUAGGGCUGUCAAAUUAGUGGGUUGGGCUAAAUUUGCACAAUUAGAAACAAUUACCAACUAAUGAGCUUUUCAUUAGUCGUUGCCAAUAAAGCACUUGGUUUUGGCAUUUGUGAUCCUAUUUUUUUUUUUUUUGUGAUCAAGUAAAUAUAGCCAUUUGUGUGACCUGUUUAUUCAUUUUGAUAAAAUAAAACAUCACCCACUAAAAAAAUUAGUAACUUCAGGAUAGAGUUGAAUUAGCGAGGUAUCAUUAAGUUAAGCUGAACAUGUAUUAUGCCACAAACUGGUUGCCUUCAUAUGGAAAAAAAUUUAAAAUUAGUGAAUACUGUUUGUCCAUUUUGAAAAAUAAACUUAAAAAUGGUAACUGACCCAGCUAAGUCAUUUCAUUGGAGGAGGAGGAUUCCAAUCCAUAAUGACCUACCAGAAAUAGUACUAACACAAUCCAUGCAAGUUUUGCCAAUUUGAGCGGGUGUCAAAGCUGAGGCUACAAACAAUAGACCCCAUGAAUAAGUAAGAUAAUUAGCCAUUCUAUGCAACUGUCAUGACUUGCUCCAUUUUUUUAUUGCAACUUUUCAACAACUACUGCUCUAUUUGGGUUCACAAAAUUUCACCAUUCCAUACUUAAGGAUUAUAUCUCUAGUAUACUCUAGUGAUUAUAUCUUUGAUACACCAAGGGAUCAUCUGGUUACAGGGAUUACAGUGUUAUCCCAGUAUAAAAUAUGGGAUUAAAUUAAUCAGUCUUUGGUUGUAGAUAUUAGAUAAAAACAGAGGAAAAUUCAUACCAAAAUCAUAGUACCAUCAACCCACAUGGAAGGUGGGAUUAUCUGUUAUGGUUAUAAUCCCCGAGUUAAUCCAAGGAUACUUCGUUUUGAACCAAACAACUGCAACGUGUCUCCGAGUAAGCACUACCUUUAAUUGGUAUCAGAUAUACGGAUUUUCAAUUUUCGCUGUUUUCUAUCUUCUGCUAGAUCUGCCUCCAUUCCGACAUAUUAUAAAUCUAUUGAGACAACUUCUUUCCAUGUAAUUUUAGAUCUACCAUCUCUUUUAGCACCUUCAAACAUCAUGUUUUAUAGGUGCAUCUGGAGGACUAUGUAACAUGUGGUCAACUCAAACCAUCUCAAGAGACAUUCUCUUAUUUUAUCCUUUUUAUAUGCUACUUGCACCAUCUAACAGAUGUGAUCAUUUAUGAUUCUAUCUAAUCUUGUAUGACCAUCCAUCCAUCUUAAACAUUUGCAUCUCUAGACACUCAUCUUGGGGAUAUAUUGGGCUUUAAAAGCCUAACAUUCACUUAGAUACACUCUUGUGGCACUCGUCCAUUUCAACCAUCCUCCAUUAAUCAAAUGUGUAACAUCUUAAUCUAUCACAAUGUUAUCAAAGGCAUUUUCAGGGCGAGUCACAGGCCAGGGCAUAUCAAAAAUGCCCCCGGGCGCAAAUGAAAGGCAUAGAUCCAUAGGGCGUACACCCUAGAAUUUGGGGAGUAAGUCCCACAAUAAAGCGUAUGCUCGGGAGUAAAAUUUGAUUUUUAUUAUUUUUAAGGUAACUUUGCUAUAAAUCAUGUUAUUAUUAUUAGUUAAAUGAUAUUUAUACUUUAUGCUAUCUUUUUUUCAUGUUGUAGUAUUUUCCUAAAAUAUAUAAACAAAGAAACAACAACCAUAGAAAAUGACACAGUCAUAAAUAGUUCUUUAAAUAAUCAAGCCUAAAAUUGAUAGAAUAGAGAGUCCAUAGCACUAUGUUCUGAGGCAACUUUAUUCAUCUUUUCUCACAACUCUUACACUUUUUAUCCUUCUUUGAAAUAUAUAUACAAUAAUCAGUGCAAAUAUUAGUUGAGAGUGGGAAGGACCAGUGGAUGCGGAGAUCGAUAUGAAAUUACUAAUGAUUCCAUUUUAAAGAAUAUCUCGACUAAUAUCAUUUUUUUGUGUCGUUACCUUUCCCAAAUAAGAAUUAUAAUAUUUUUUUCUAUAUUACUGGUGAUUUAUUUGAAUUUAUUUGCAAAAUUAUUGAAGAUUUUUCUUUUGCUUAGUUUCUUAGUAAUAAAAUUAAAGAUACAUAAGAUAUACGCCAUGUAGAUCCAUGGGACUUACACCAUGUGUUUCGGGGCUUACAUAUUGCCCAGUGCCGCAUAAAACUCCUCGCCUCACACCCCCGCCUUUCAAAACACUAAUCUAUCAUUCCAUUCUCCUGGAUUAUUGAGGUUAUCGCUAAAUUAUCUAUAUUUAGGCACCUCAAGUUCAUCUCAUCUCAACUCAACUUCACUCCUAUCUCGCUGUCUAAACUUCUCAUGCAUGUAUUAUCAUACUCUUACCGGUGUUGUUAAAAGUCAUUGUUUUGCUGCUUAGAGGGAUGAUGCAAUGCCAAGCGAAGCGUUAGUGCUUUACAGGUGAAGUCAUGUGCUUCAGAUAGGUGGGCUUCAAACAAUGACGUGCAAGGUCAUCCAAACGAAACCCAGUUAGUUCUUUGAAUUGCAACUUUGAGAAGUUAGAACUAAUAUCAACACAUAUUGGAUGCUAGUAUUCAUUAUUUUACUUGCAAAUUCAUUAUUAUAAUACUAAAUUCAUAUAUGUUUGAUAAUUUCAAUAUUUGAUAAGUUGUGCGCGUUAUACUGCUUAUUUUUUGCUUUAAGUAUCAUGAAGCUUGUUGAUUUUUUCACACAUUUUGCUUUUAAGACACCGACUUUCAUUUAUCCUAAAACUUUUACUCUCUAGAGUAUUCUCUUAGCUCGAGCUUGUGAUUGACACCCUCAUUAAUUUCAUCAAUUAACACAAUAUCAUCUGCGAAGAGCAUGCUUCAUGAUACCUCAUCCUGUUGGUUAAUUCGUCCAUAACAAGCAUAACCAGGUCCGGCUUAACAUAGAGUCCUGGUGCAAACCCACAGUAAGGGGAACUCCUCUGUCCCUGCCACUGUUCUCACAUUUGUAACAGCUCCUUCAUACAUAUUCAUAUGUUUGACAUGAAUUCUUUUAUUUUUUCAAUACCAACCUAUGUUGUUGGGACUCGUGUGCGGGUAUCCGAGACGGGUGUGGAUCCGAGAGUCGGAUUCGUCAAAUCUAAAUUUUAAGAUUCGGGGGUGUGAAUCCGAGUAUGGGUACAGGUGCGGGGAUUCAGCUAAAAAAAUUCAAUGUAAUAAAAAUAGAGUUAUAAAGAUAUUCUAAAUUUGAGAGAUAUUUUGUGAUAAACUUACAUGUAUAUUGUAGAAUUCAUUUGUUUAUGUACUCAUUUGCAAUAUGUAUGAUUUGGUCAAUAAAAAGUUAUAUGAUCAAUCCAUUCAAGUGUCACAACUAGGAGAGAUAAUUUAUUUUUUUAAAUUAGUUUUGGGUCACAUGGACUAAUUUAUUGAUAAUGAAAACAGAAAAAAAAUUGUCCACCCAGCCCAAAAGUGGCUGGUCCAAUAAACAACAAAAGAACAGAACAAGUACAAUCUGAGUGGACAAAUCUCCUUUGAGAUUCUUCACAACCGGUCCUUUCAUUUGGUCAAAGUAGAUGAAGAAGAAAGCUAAAAAGUUCCAAUUCUUCUCAUCUCGAACUCAGAGAAAUAAAGGGGCAUGUACAUUGUACAGUCUUUAAUUAAAGACUUAAAGUCCCUUUAGAUCUAUUCGCCUCUUUCUUCUCUCAAGAGUCAAGGCGACAUAAAGUCCCUCUUACGCUCCUCUGAUUCUUUUAAAUCGUCUUUCUACCUUCCAACUUACAGGUUGCUGGUCGGAAUUCCCACGGAAUUUUUCUGUUCAGCUCUUUCUUCUCCCAAGAGUCAAGACGACUUAAAGACCCUCAUACGCUCCUCUGGUUCUUUUACGUCGUUUUUCUGCCUUCUAACUUACAAGUUGCUGGUAGGAAUUCUCACGGAAUGUUUACUUAAAGUGAGACAAAGGUAAGGCCUAUAAUAUUGUCAUAAAUUUGUUUUAUUUUUAUUUCAAGAAAUCGAAUUCUAAAUUUUUCUCCCAAAUUUGUUCUCGGGUCAAAGUACUUGGGUCAAAGUACUUGGAUGGGAUUUGACCAAAUCUGAGACGGACGCACCCUGCACCAGUGUUGCGUAGAGACGGGUUCGGCGGCAAAAAUGACGAGUCCGCCCAACAUAUAUAUCAACAAAAGGACAUCUCAUGGGAGUUGAGACACUAUCGUAUGCUUUUUGUAAGUCAAUGAAAUAUCAUGUUAAGAUCCUUUUUCUCCCUACAAUUUUUCAUCAAUCAUCUUAGUAAAAAAAUAUAGCCUCUAUUGUAGACCUAUCAAGCAUAAAUCAAAAUUGGUUCUCAGUUCAACAUUUCCAUUUAUAUUUUUCCUUUCUGCGUGUGUGAGUGAUGGUGGGGGAGGAGGCUAUGGAAUAACUGGAUUUAAGGUGAGGUUACUUCCCUCUCCAACAUUUUGAUUUAGUUUUCUUAUAUGAUUUUUUUAUGACUGCACUUGUCCAGGCUAGCAUUUGCACAUCUCCACUGAUAAUUCCACAGGAAAACCUGCCACCACCCACCAGAAGCAACCACCAGGUAACUCUGUUCACCAAGGCUACAACAAAUGGGAAUAAAUCACCUAGUGUUAUAUCUUGAUUGGCCUACUUUCUACACAGAAUAGCCCACAAGGCAAAGUUACAAUCUUGAAUACUAAAAAAAUCAACAAUCAAUCAACUACAUCUAUCAAACUACUUGGAAAAUAUAUAUAUAUAUAUAUAUUCCUUUUAAUUUGCGCAGAAAUCACCCAAUACUCAAUAAAGACACAUUUAGCAUCUUUCAGAUGGGAGAUUCUCCAAAUUUCACACUUAUCCCAAUGGUGUGUACUAAACUUGAACAAAACUAGACAGAUAGUUGACACUAGUGUCUAGGAAUGUGCUCGCAUCGUCGCAUAAUGCGAUGAUACAAAACGAUGCAAGUCUCUCUCGCUGUGUGUGACUGAUGUGUGCGCAUCAUGUUGAUUUUGUUUUUAGGAUCAAUUUUAAAUUUAAAAAAAGAGUCACUUCAUGUUGAUUUUAUAUUUAGGGUCAAUUUCAAUUUUUUUAUAAAAAAGAAAGUUUGUGCGGUAACUACCACUGCUACAAUUUUCCAAGGUUAACUUUGAAGGCCACUGUUGUGACUUCUUCACUGUGUAACUACCACUAUUGUGCCUUUUCAUCACUGCUUCACUUCAAUGAUGCGCUCGCAUCGCUUCACGCUUUGCGUAAUGCGUGAUGCAGAGCCUUGUCGCUUUUUUUCGCAUCACACUUUCCUAAAUCUUUUGCCCGUCAUUUUUUUUAAUCAUCGUUAUAUCUUUCACUCAAUUAUUCUAUUCCUGACUAUGGUAAUUAGUUGAAUUUUUUUUGAAAUAUCAGAUAGUUUGAUCGCAAAUGAGUUCUUUCUUCUCAAAAUCUCAACAAUAUGCAUUACUUAAAGUGGUUCUUUCGAUCAUUCAUCGAAAGGAGACACUUGAUUUUGAAUUUGACCAAUUGAGACAUCAGGAAACAAUAUUCUCAAUUUCUUCAUUCGAAGUGAAUUCUUAGUGUAUUUCUGUAUUCUUUCUAGAUUCAAAGACUAACCACAAAAUCACAAAGAAAAUAGAUUCAUAAGUUCGAUACCUUGUAUAAAACUCAUGUGUAAGAAAUAUCCGAUCGCAUAGAGCGUACGAAUAGGCUGAUUAACAAUUCACAGAUGAAAAAAUGGUAAAAAAGAAAGCAUUCACCCCAACACUGCCUGACACAUGCCAAACCUAAAUAAGAUUAAGUCUUAAUCACAAUUGUUUUAUCCUUCAUAUGGAUCUGUUACUUUCACUUAUGCUGUUCUUAGCUAAACUUGCAUGUAAUCCUGGAGAGAAACAACUUUAUUUCAUAUGAUUUUACGUCUAUUUCAUCCCAUUUUAGCAAAACAACCAUCAACUUAUCACGCCUACAGAUCGGUGCAUUUGAAGAUCCACUAGCACAGUCGUAUAAUCUCAAGUGACAUUCUUUCAUUUUAUUAGUUAUGUGUGCUACUUGCACUCCACUAAAUGUGAUAAUUUCUAAUUUUCUCUAGUCUUGUACUUCCUCCCUUCACAUUUACUUGUCCACUAUACUAAAAAUAAAAUUCACUUUUAUUUGUCGACUUUAGCAUAUAAAGAAAAUAACAAUUUUAUUUUUCCUGUUUUACCCUUAGCAUUAACUACUCAUUCCCAAAUUAUUUUUCCAAAUCCAUUGAAACUAUACAACAUUAACAUGGGUAUUAUGGUUAGUUUCAAAAAAAAAAUAUGGGUAUUAUGGUAAAAUAUGCACUUCACUUACAAUUUUUUAAGGGGAGUCCAAAAGCCAUUGUGGACAAGUAAAAGUGAACGAAGGGAUUAUAGCGUAUAUCAACCUUAACAUUUGUAUCUCACGAUAAACAUCAAAUUACCGUAAUAGAAUACUUAUUUUUUAUGACAGAGAAAUCUAUCUAGGGCAAACUUUAGGACCAUGCAACCUUUGGAACUCGUGGAUAAUGAGUCUAGCCCUUUACUUUUCUCCACUUACAUAUUGGCUUAAUUUCGUAUUGUGCAUGGCUCAAGCCUGUGCGGCUGUGCCUAAGUCACAAGACCCUCAAUCUUUUGCCAUUUGAACUAAGCCCUACGGUCAGUUCCAUAAUAGAAUACUUUUUCAUCCCUAAUGAAAUACUUUAACUUCAUAAUUCACCACAUUAACACUUGACUUUAUUUAUUCAUUUAUCUAAAGCAACUUGUCUCUAUAAUUUCUCAAGAAGAGAAAAGUGGUUGUUGGCUCCUAUGUUACGGACUCUUCGUUUUUUGCCGCCAAACCUGUCUUGACGCGAUACUGAUGCGGGAGCGGGUGUCGGCUGCAUCUCAGAUUGGGUCAAAUCCCACCCGGAUACUUUGACCAGAGCCAAGAACAAAUUUGGAAGAAAAAUAGAGAAUUCAAUUUCUUAAAACAAAAAUAAAAUAGUUACAACAAUAUUAUAGGCCUUACUUUUGUCUCACUUUAAGUUCUAAGAAAUUCCGUGAGAAUUCCGUACAGCAACCUAUAAGUUGGAAAACAGAUAGACGACGGAAAAGAACUCGAGGAGUGUAAGAGGGACUUUAUGUCGUCUUGACUCUUGGGAGAAGAAAGAGACGAAUAGAUCUAAAGGGACUUUAAGUCUUUAAUUAAAAAUUGUAGUGUACAUGACUCUUGAUUUCUCUGAGUUCGAAGAUGAUAAGAAUGAGAACUUUUCAGCUUCCUUCUUCAUCUACUUUGACCAAAUGAAAGGACCAGUUGUGAAGAAUCUAGAAGGAGGUAUGUCCUCAAAUUGUACUAGUUUUGUUUUUUGUUAAUUAUUGGACCAGCCACUUUUCUGCCGGGUGAACAAUUUGUUUUUUGUUUUCAUUGUCAAAUAAUUGGUCCAUGUGACCCCCAAAACUAUUUUUUUUUUCUUUGCAUUGUGGCACAUAAGUGGAUAGAUGACACACAACUUUUAAUUGACCAAAUUAUAUAUAUAUUGCAACUAGCAAAUGAGUAAAUAAAUAAAUGAAUUCUACAAUAUACAUGUAAGUUUAUCACAAAAUACCUCUCAAAUUUAGAAUAUCUUUCAAACUCUGUUUUUAUCAUAUUGAAUUUUUCUAGACGAAUCCCCGCACCCGUAUCCAUACUCUUCGCACCCCCGAAUCUUAAAAUUUAAAUUUUGACAAAUCCAGCUCUCGAAUCCACACCCGUCUCGGAAACACGCACCCAAGUCCAAGCAACAUAGGUGGCCCCUACAUAUUCCCCUAAUACAAAGAAUCAACUCUUGUCUUAAGUGCAAAAAGUUUCUUAGUUAGCUACCCUCUUACUUUUCAGUUUAUUUGCAAGCAUUCAUUAGUUUAUCAAUAACAAUACAAAAUUAAAAUCUUAUGUCUCUGUUUAACAUCAGGAUAAUAGUCAUGUUGUACUCAAAUUUUACCUCUUACAGCAAGAUAUAGUAUGUUGAGAGUGCUCUCUCAUUAGUUAUUGGUUUGAUAGGCAAAACAUAGCAAACCCACGCAGCCAAAUUCUUCGGAAGCUACUUCAUAAAUGAGUUAAUGGAAGGUUGGAAUUUGUUUACGUAUCUAACCUAGCUCAUUUUUGUUCUUUAUUUCCCUCAAAAGUUUUAGUCGCCGUUUGGACAUGAAAACUAAAAUUUUCCGGAGUUGGAGUUGCGUUUGGCCAUGUCUUUUUUGAAUUUUUUUUUUUGACUUUUCAAAAAAACUUUUUUAAAUAUGAUUUUAUGCCCCAACUUUUACAAACUAUCAAAAUCACCCAACUAAAAUUUACCUACUAACGGGAAAAUAAUACAGUUAGCCACUUUUAUAAAAAUAAUUACAUAUACAUAGUCAUAUUUAAUGAAUUUCAAUUAUGACAUAUAUAAUAUUUACAUUAAUANNNNNNNNNNNNNNNNNNNNNNNNNNGAGUUGUUAUUAAAUUUUAGGGUGCCGCUAAUUUAUUUCUUUAAUUUUCUUAUACAUGAAAGAUUUACUGUGUGUGAAUAAAUUAUUUCUAUGUAAAACAUACUUUGCAUAUUUAUGGUAUAUUAUAUCAUAUACCAUAAAUAUAUAAAUAUGCUUAGUAUAUUUCUUUAUACUUUGUAUAUUUAUAUAUGUGUGUAUAUGUAUAUAUAUAUGAAAAAUAUGUAUCACCGAUUUAUAUUUUUAGCAUAUAUAUGGUAUAAACUAUUUAUAUUUGAAUAGUAUAAUAAAGAUAUACACAAUAUAAUAAUAUAAUCAAAUUAAAAAUGAGAUUAAUUUGUAGCAGUGGUAAACUAAUUUGCUACAACUUUAUUAAUUCCAUAAAUAUAGAAAACGAUUAUCCAUUACUCCCUCCGUUUCAAAAAGAAUGACUUAUUUUCCUUUUUAGUCCAUUUAAAAAAGAAUGACCCCUUUUCUUUUUUGGCAAUACUUUAAUUUCAACUUUCCACAUAGCAUGUUUAGGACCAUAAGAUUAUAGGGCAUUUUAGUACAUUUGGUACAACUUUAAUUUAAGGCCACAAGAUUUACAAGUCUUCUUUAUUUUCUUAAACUUUGUGCCAAGUCAAAGUAGGUCAUUCUUUUUUAAACGGAGGGAGUAUUAAUUACACGACUAUAAUUCCUUAAACGUCCGUAUCCAAACAGAAAAAUUAUUAUUAUUAUUAUAUUAUAGUAAUUAGGAUCAUUAGCAGUAAAAUAAUGUCUUAAAUAAGGGAGAAAAUUAAAUAAGAGAGAAAAAUAAUGAUGAGAGAAAAACAGAUAUAUAUUAAUUAGGAUAGCAUUAAGUUUGAAAUUAUAAUUAUCUUAUUCUUUAAAACUGCUAUAUAUGUAAUAUUGAAAAAAUAAUGUUAUAAAGAGAGUUUUAUGUAAAAAUUUAAAAGAUUGGAAUUAUAUGUAAUAAUAAUAAAAGUUGAAAUUGGAAUUGAAAAAUUGUGAAAACACCAAAAACCUGUUUUUCCUUUUCAGAAAAAUUUUCCGAAAUUAUUUUUAGAAUUUUCAUGGCCAAACACCACAAUUUCCAACUCCGGAAAAAUUUUUCGGAAAAAAGGAAAAAAAUUUCAUGGCCAAACGGGCCCUUAGUCCCAGCUCAUGCGCACCACCAACUUACAAGACACCUUCUUAUCUCCCAAUAAGACAGGUACCAGUCACGCUAUGCACCAAGACUUAGGUGGAUAGGAAUAAUUCACCUAGUUCUCUUCUACUAGGAUUUGAACAGUGGUUUCAAGGUUGUCACUCCAACCCUUAGAUUGCUAGCACCCCCUUGGGGUGUUCCUUGCCCUCCAAAGCUUGUCCAGGGGUGGAAGUAAAAAAUUAAAAAACCAAAAUUCGUUACAUUAACUAGUCAUUUAUCCUACAUGCUUGUACUACUACUAUUCACUUUGUAGCACAAAAGAUCAUUUUCAAAUGUGUGGACAUGACUAAAAUUAUUUAGAUUAGCAUAAGAUUUGUCAAGUGUAUAUAUAGCUCUUACCCAGCGGGUUUUUGAGAGUUCACCCCAUCCAUGAGUAACAUCAGAAAGAUCUUUCAAAGUUGUGCCGACAUACACCAGGGCAAAAGUUAUUGGCUACAACAGGAUAAAAAAUAAAUUCAUCAAUAACAACAUCAACAAAGCCAGUGAAAUCAUGCAAGUGGGGUCUGGAGAAAUCAUCAGUAGUGAAUAUUAAUAUGAAUAAAAUAAAAAAAAUCAACACAUCAAUCAAUAAGCCUCUGGGUGGAAUUUCAAGGGUUAUUGAAAAGAACAAGGCAUGCAGAUGAUCCUACUAUACCACAAUGGCUUCUUGGUCAAGGUCAUUUCACAUGGAUAGCACCAGCAACAAGUCAACUAUAUAAACCAAUAGAAAUCUCUCUUCCAAGAGGAUGGAUCAAGGAUUUUAAUCUGUCCCUAUGUAUAUUACAAAGGGGUUUGAUAGAGCCUCCCCAGAAGAGAGAGUUAUUGAGCUCUUGAAUAACAUUAAUCUAGAGGCUAAUGUGCUGAGUUGGUGGCUAAUGCAUUGAAGGAAAAGAAGUCGACGGGGGAGGUGCAAUAAGCAGCGCAUCAAAUUGUGGUGUAUCGUAGAAGAAACAAAGUGGGCAAGGAUGUAGGUGGGGCUUCAUUUUUUAUUUUUUUGUGUGUGGGGGGAGGGGGGGUGAGGGAAUUAGUUGUUGAUGGAUUGUAAAAUCAUUAGCUAGACUGUGAGGGGGAUGAUUGACCCAAAUUAAAGGGCCAUCAUCAAAGUAGGCUUUAGGGAAUGGGAGGCAAAUGUGAUAUGUAUCCAAGAAACAAAAAUGGAAAUCCUUAGAGGUAGGUAAAGUAUGAUUAUAUUCCAACCCGGGGAAGUGUGGGAGGAAUUCUCAUUCUUACGGAUGACAGAAAAUUGGAGAGUGUGGAGGUUAUCAAAGGGGAAUAUAUGUUAGGGGUGCGGUUUAAAAACAUUAACAAUGGCAUGGAGUGGGGUUUCGGGGGAAUCUACGAACCGAUGGGGGAGGGGUCUAAGGAGGCUUUUUAGGAGGAAUUAGGAGUUAGGAUAGAGAGGUGGGAUAUACCUUGGGUUUUAGGGGGGGAUUUUAAUACCAUUAGAUUUCCAGAGGAGAGGUUGGGGUAUAACGUGGUGUCUAGGGCCAUGGAGGAGUUCUCAGAGUCCAUUGACAAUUUUUUUCUUAUUGAUUUGCCUUUAUCCGGUGCCUCUUUCACUUGGCCCAGGCCAGAUGAUUCCUCUAGAUCGAGACUAGACAGAGUUCUUGUGUCCACUUCUUGGGAGGAAUUGAAUCCCAAUGUGAUAUAGUUUUCUCUCUCGCGAUUGCUAUCCGACCAUUCACCUAUCAUGUUGGAUGGAAGCAGAGAAGGGCAAAUGAGAUCUCCUAUCAAACUUGAAAACAUGUGGUUAAGUGUGUCGGAUUUUAGGGAGAGAGUGGUUGGUUGAUGGAGUUGUGCAGUGGAGGGGAGGCCUUCUUAUAGGCUUGCUAGAAAAUUGAAAUUGCUCAAAAAAGACAUGAGUGUGGAAUAAAGAAGUGUUUGGAAGGGGGGGGGGCAAAAUCAAGGGCAUUGUGGUUGGAGGAAGGGGAUUCGAACACUAAAUUUUUUCAUAGGACAACAAUCUAAAAUAGGAGAAGGAACUUCAUUGAGUUGGUCGAGGUAAAUGGGGUGGUGCAUGUGGGGAGGAGGAAGUAGAAGGGACAGUUGUAGAGUAUUACAAUCAUUUGUUCAAAGAGGAAGCAAUUUGGUCCUAAUUUGGGGGGUUUAGAGUUUUGUCACAUUGGUGGCGAGAAGUGUAUGUGGCUAAAGAGGAAGUGAAAAAAGCAAUAGAAUGUUGUAAGGGUGACAAAUCUUUGGGGCCUGAUGGUUUCUCUUUGGCUUUUUUCCAGCAUAGCUAGAGCACGGUAAAAACUGAGGUGAUGGAUACUAUUGCGAAGUUUCAAGAAAGAGGGAAUUUUGAAAUAGUUUGAAUGUUUCGUUCAUCGUCAUCAUCCCUAAGCGGGAGGGAGCCUCAAACAUUUAAGACUAUAGACCUAUUAGUCUAGUGGGAAGCAUCUAUAAGAUCAUCUCUAAGGUGUUGUCCAUUAGACUUAAGAAAGUGUUGGAUGAGACAGUAUCUACCUCGCAGAAUGCCUUAGUGGAGGGCAGACAAAUUUUGAAUGCAGCUUUGGUGGAAAACGAAGUGGUGGAUACGAGGAGAAAGCAAGGUGAGUCAGGUGUACCAUGCAAGCUGAUCUUGAAAAGGCCUAUGAUCAUGUGAAUUGGAAUUUCCUAGAUGCCAUUAUGCUACAAAUGGGAUUUGGGAAAAAAUGGAGAAAAUGGAUUAAAUUUUGCAUCUCCUCAGUGAGAUAUUCCACUUUCUCAUUUGAGGAAUAGCCUGCACCCAUAGAAUUCCAAUUUGUCUGAGAGAUGGGUGGAGUUUGUAGAGAAUCAUUUAUUAUUGUAGAUUCUUUACUUUUUUUGUAUCCCCUUGUAUACGGCCAACUGCGUGCCACGUAUGAAUGAAAAUACGUUUACCUGAUUUUAAAAAAAAAAAAAAAGUGCCUCCCUAUAUCAAACCUGGCACAUAUGCAUGAGUUUACAAAAAACCCUUUAUAUCAUAGUCAAAUAUGCUAAUAUUCCCAUUCCACAUGGGUCUUUACAGGUCCUCAAUUAGGUUUAUAGUAUAUGUUUUGCUUUGUUUUUCUAAAAUUGGAGCUACACAGGUGGCUUUUAAACAACUUUAUUGAAUUUAUGAGUAGGGCGGGGAUGGGAUGAGGUUGCCAACUCCAUUCCACUAACGUUUUUGAGAUUGCAUUCGAGAAACCACGUUGCAUGAAUCAUACAUCUGCAACUCAUAAAGCAGAGCUUGGUAAUUCUUUGACUACUACAGUUUCGCUAGCGUGACAUCUACUUUUACAAGGAUAUGAACAUAGUUCUUUAAAUUCCAUUGUGAAAGCACCUUGAUCCAACACAAUGAUCAUAUCUACAUCACAUGGCAAGCCAUGAGAGUGAUUUUGACCUGAGGCAACUGGGAAGGAAGGGGGGAGAGAGAGAUGGAUGACCUCAGAAAAUUCUCUGCCUACUACAGUGAAGUAAGAAAUAGCAUUUGCUUUUACAAGGAUAUGAAAAGAGUUCUUUAAAUUCCACUCUAAAAGAACAUCAACCAGAGUCACAUGGCAAGCCAAGAGAGUGAUUUUGACCUAGAUGCAACUGGGAAAAGAAAGAGGGGGAAUGGAUAGAAAUGCUCAGGCGAUUCUCUGCCUACCACAAUGAAGCUAGAAAGGACGUCUACUUUUACAAGGAUAUGAAAACAGUUCUUUAAAUCCCACUGUAGAAACACCACGACCAUAUCUAUGCCACAUGGCCAACCAUGAGAGUGAUUGUGAUGACAGACAGAUAGAUAGAUAGAGUGAGACUUACCAUCAUUCCCAACCAUGACGCCAGCAUGUAUUCCCAAAUUGAAACUGGUGUCACUGAUAACAGGUAGUUCAGCAUAUUGAACGGAAGCAGAGGAACGAGUCGGAGCAGCAAAACAAUCUGUCCAGUCAUAGCAAAGGAAUGUGCAGGGUUACUUCUGCUCUUUUUGGAAAUUAUUAUCCAUAUUACAGACACACUUCUAAGCCAAAAUGAAAAUUUGAAGAUGACAUCAUUAUCAAAAGGACCUUCGCAGGCCUUUCAUGAAAGACAUAUGAACCUUAAAGCCAGAUUUCCGAAUUGCAAUUGCAACUGCACGAAACUGUGGAUAAUCUUUCAACUUGGAAAUGACAAAUGACCUCCCAAUCUGUCAAGAUGUGAGUGAAAGAAAAACAAUUAAUGAAAAUAAUCAGUUCAGAAAACAAACCUUUUAGGGGUAUGGCACAAGAAUACAUAAACAGAAAGGAAAAUGAAGGGAAAAGCAACAAAAAUUAUGCCCUAUCCACACACAGUUUGCACAUGCAAGCCCAUAUUCUGAAGAAAAAGUCGUUCAAAAAUGACAAAUCUGCAGCCUAGUACCUAGGGUAGUCCAGUUUUUGUAAUAUAACUAGAGUAACAAUCAGAGCUCUGGGAAAUGGACUAUGGAAGUAAUCAUGCUGUUCUAACUUCUAACUUUUAAGCAAUAAUUCAAGUGAAAUACAUUUUUAACUGCUCAACAAAGUAUCCCUCUCUAGAAUAAAAUAACUUACUGUUCUACCAAGAAGAAAUGCUGCGGCAGCACCAAUGGUAGCACCAAUAGAAUCAGCAACAAAACCCACAGGCAAGCCGAAUAGAUAACCACCACCUAGCUGAAAACAGGACCAUGCAGAGUUCAAAUUCAAUCAUAACUCCUAGAUUCAUUAAAUUAUUACUUUGUACUUAGUCAAGUAUCAUUCAUAACUAAGUCCAUGCUCCAUGAGCAGCAGAGACAGACUGGUAAAGACGUGCUAUAAAAGAAUUUAGAACGGCUGUUAUAAAAAAAUGAGGGUUAGGAAUUAGGAGGGGUGACAUGACUUCAACAGAAAAUGCCAUAAGUUUUACCGUAAGAACUGACGCUGGAACUGCCAAUACUGUUAGAGGAAUGUAUGCAACAGCCCUGCAAGACACAGAAAACAACAUGACCAAAAGCAACAACAACAACAACAAGCCCAGUGUAUUCCCACACAGUGGGGUCUAGGGAGGGUAAAAUGUAUGCAGUCCAUACCGCUACCCCCGAAGAAGUAAAGAGGUUGUUUCCGAUAGAACCCCGGCUCAAGAUAAAUAUAUAUAAAAAAAAAAAAUAGUAAACAAAAGUCGUAAUGAAACAUGAAGCAGGAUGGGUGGCUUAACAGAAGUAAAGAAUCAGAAAUAGUAAAAUAGAACUUAGAGCAAUACAGGAUAGGGGAACUAAGAGCCAUAAGCUAUAAGCUAUAACAAAUAAGAAAAACGAAAUCUAGAAUUGGGUAUCCGCUAGUAGUAACCAACACUCACAGACCAAAGCCACCCACCACACCCAGUCUCUCCUGACUAACGGCUCCUACCUAUCGACACAGUCCUACGAUUACUACCCCAACUAAACAGGGACUCUCCUAAUUACUUGCUACAACCCAUGUACUCAUCCUAGCCUUCUACUCUUAUCCGCGACCUCCACACCUUCCUAUCUAGGGUCAUGUCCUCGAUAAGCUGAAGCUGCUCCAUGUCAUGUCUAAUCACUCCCCUCCAGUAUUUCUUCAGCCUCCCUCUACUCCUCCUGAAGCCAUCCAAGGCUAGCCUCUCACACCUGCGAAUUGGGGCAUCCGUGCCCCUCCUCAUCACAUGCCCAAACCAUCUCAGACUUCCUUCCCGCAUCUUGUCCUCCACCGAAGCCACUCCCACCUUCUCCCGAACAAUCUCAUUCCUAACUCUAUCCCUUCUUGUAAGCCCACACAUCCAGCGCAAUAUUCUCAUUUCCGCCACCUUCAAUUUUUGAAUAUGGGAGUUCUUGACAGGCCAACACUCCGCUCCAUACAACAUGGCUGGACGAACUGCCACUCUAUAGAAUUUGUCUUUAAGCCUAAGGGGAACCUUCUUAUCACACAACACUCCAGAGGCGAGCCUUCACUUUAUCCAACUAGCUCCAAUACGAUUAGAGACAUCCUCNNNNNNNNNNNNNNNNNNNNNNNNNNNNNNNNNNNNNNNNNNNNNNNNNNNNNNNNNNNNNNNNNNNNNNNNNNNNNNNNNNNNNNNNNNNNNNNNNNNNNNNNNNNNNNNNNNNNNNNNNNNNNNNNNNNNNNNNNNNNNNNNNNNNNNNNNNNNNNNNNNNNNNNNNNNNNNNNNNNNNNNNNNNNNNNNNNNNNNNNNNNNNNNNNNNNNNNNNNNNNNNNNNNNNNNNNNNNNNNNNNNNNNNNNNNNCCUUAAGUCACUAAACUUGCACUCCAAAUACUCCGUCUUGGACCUACUCAACCUGAACCCCUUAGAUUUUAGGGUUUGCCUCCAUACCUCCAAUUUUUCAUUCACACCCCCCACGUCUCAUCAAUCAGCACUACAUCAUCAGCAAAUAACAUACACCAAGACACUUCACCUUGAAUACUCCGCUUCAACACGUCCAUCACCAGCGC
rnacentral:lncRNA from 1 species